UUUUCAUUUUCAGAACAAGUGUAACGAGAGUCAAAAAGACGUCUCCAAAUACAAGAAGAAGUUCAAUGCUAUGAAAUCAUAUAUGAAGAAACUGAAUAAGACUUUGAAGACUUCUGGACUCGACAUGACGCAGAUGGCUUCUACUUCAAAGUCCACAAUACCGUCUGCAUUCGGAUCAGAUAUUUCUGAUUCUGAUUCAGAAGACUCGCUUUCAGACGAGUGUUGAUUAAACGAUUUUUUUUUCUUAUUCAAACUUCGAAUGUUUAACGAUUCUGUAAUUUAAUUUCUUUUUAAUAAAAAACAUCGAUUUCAAUUUCAAUUUCAAAAUCGUUUUCUCAAAUAUCGAUUUCUAUUUCAAAAAACAACGAUUCGAACGCAAAAUAUAGAAUCCUGUUUUUAAAAAAAAAUGUAACAAACAUUGUAUGACGGAUUUCAGCCAUCUAUACUCUUCUACUAAGGUUUAGAUGGCGGAAAUCCGCCAUCUAAAUAUGGGCACAAUCGCCCUCUCCUACGAAUAGAUGGCGGAUAUCCGCCAUCUAUAAACUAAAGGAGCCUCCUUCUGUACUUUAGAUGGCGGAUUUCCGCCAUCUAAUGUUACAAAGAUAGUCGGCGGACAUCCUCCAUCAAUGAAUUGGCGCCAAACUAUUCCCGCGCCAUAUUUUAGAUGGCGGAUUUCCGCCAUCUAAAACUUUUCAGUUCGCGCGAAAAUUUUCAGAUUAGAUGGCGGAUUUCCGCCAUCUAUACGAUUUUUGGUGGAAAAUGGGGAUGGAUAAUAGAUGGCGGUCUUUAGAUGGCGGUUUAAGGGUUUUAAUGGCGGUGUCCAAGAUGGCGGCCUUUAGAUGGCGGAUUUCCGCCAUCGAUCACUUUAGAUGGCGGAUUUCCGCCAUCUAAAGACCGCCAUACAAUGUCUUAUUUCUUGUAGUGUUACGGUAAUGACAGUAGUAUUGGUGACAGUUGCCUAAAGUGGGAUGUCACUAGUUCUGCAUAUUUGUUUGGCGUCGUGGUAUUAUUCUCAAAUAGGAAAGUGUCUUCAUCAAAGAGGACGUAUCUGGAGGCUAUAAUUCUUCUUCUUGACGGGUCCUUACAUUUGUAGCCUUUGUGGGUAGAUGAGUAGCCGAUAAAAAUACAUCGGGUUGCCACGGUUUGCAGUUUAGUUCUUUGGAUAUUCGAUGUGAUAGAAAAACACAAGCAUCCAAACAUACGAAGGAGAGAGUAGUCUGGGAAAUGUUGGAAGAGGAGUUCGUAUGGAGAUUUAUUUGAGGUGGUGAUUGACGGAAGUCGAUUGAUAAUGAAGGAAUGACGGAAGUCGAUUGAUAAUGAAGGAAUGACGGAAGUCGAUUGAUAAUGAAGGAAUGACGGAAGUCGAUUGAUAAUGAAGGAAUGACGGAAGUCGAUUGAUAAUGAAGGAAUGACGGAAGUCGAUUGAUAAUGAAGGAAUGACGGAAGUAGAUUGAUAAUGAAGGAAUGACGGAAGUCAUAUGGAGAUUUAAACGAGAGUGAUCGUUCGACCAAUUUACAAAAUAAGACAAAGUUUGAAACGAAAUCGGAUUUGAGAGCAAGAGGGAUGAACCAAGUGAAUCUUGAGAAGUUGUCGACUAUGCACGCAUAUAUAUUAUCGGAAUCUUUCUCUGGAGUUAACCGGAGUCGGUCUUUAUAGGUCUAGGUGGAUAAUCUCUAGAGAUUCUCUUACAGUGUAUGUGCAAUGAUGAAACGAAGGUCUCUUGGCCUUAUUCAUAGCACACACUUGACAGAAUGGAAGGGUGGACUGUUGACGAUCAACGGAAAGAGGUGCUGAAUUUAGAAUACAAGAUAAGACCGGUUUUUCCGGAUGGCCCAACCGGCGAUGCCAUAUUACCAGAGUAACUUUUGUGCAAGCCAAACACGUACUGUUUGGUGUUGACGGAGCUUGCUUGUAGGUUAGUUAGGUGAUAGAGCCCUUGGAUGCUAUUGUCACGCAUGAUUGUAUUCUCCAUUCUCUUGACCUUCACGUCAAACCCAAUUUUAUCAAAAAAAAUAUAAUUUAGAUCGCGAGAUAAGGAUUGAAUGGAAAAGAGAUUUUUUAUGGUGACCUGGAACACUUGGACAUUGGGGAUGGAAAUUUGACCAAGAGAGGUCGGGAGAGACAAUGCUCUGUCUUAAGAUGGGAAGUUGAGACCCAUUUCUAACCAUUACUAUGCCGUUACCUUGGUAGGGCUGAGAGGUAGAGAAGGAGUUGAGUGAGAGCGUCAUGUGGUUGGACGCGCCACUGUCAAGACACCACGAGCUGUCGAAGGUCACUGAUGGUACGUUGUUGUUCAAAGAGUGGGUGUUGAAAUCGUCUCCAAUGAGAUAGGUGUAGUAUGCGAAAUUCCUUGUGGCAAGGAGACUUGAUUUUCCCACCCAUUCAAAGCAGAAGAGAUUGAUCGAGGUGGUUAGACCACCAGCGAUACCGGCUCCUUCUCUAAUAAACUUUGUGGCAGAAAUGCGAAGAAGUAAACAAGAGAGUACGAUCGAAGAGGCACAUUUGCAUAGACUGGUGUACAAUCGCCAUUUACAAUUCCGAUUUAUCAAUGCAAAUUCCAAGACUGCCGCGAUCGACCUUGGAAUCUUCACAGAGGUUAAAAUAUAUAUAUAUUAACGGUUGAUUUAAUUUGUUGAUUGCAAUUUACAAGUCAAAACUCUUUUAAUUUUUGCUCCAGAAAACCCUAUACAGUGCUUCUGUAGCUAUUUCCGAAUUGCGUAAUUCUAUUGCGGAAAAACAAAUCAAGCUUCAACUUCUUAGACAAAAUCUGAAGCUUACAUCCAUUGUCAAGGGACAGGUAAGUAUUGCAUUGAAUAAAAAAACCAUUGACUAAAGCUGAACUAACUCAUUCUGAAUCCAUCUCAUGUAGAUGUCAUGUUUCGAGGAGUAUUUUGUUAUUGAAAGAAAGAAUCCUGGAUCUUUAUAUGGAUGUAUUGAAGCUUGGAGGGAAAGAACAAUUCCUCUCCUUUUAGUUAGAGGAGCCAGAGUUAAUGUCAUAAAUUAUAAUCAUUUUCAAGAAAAUAAAAAUAAAUCAAACAACAUUUUUUCUGAUUAAUUAUGAUUUUAUAGGAACCGAUUUCUAUGUCGUAUACUUCUGUUAUUUUAUGUUGAUAAUGAAUGAUGUGCUAGCAUAUGCGUCAGCCUAGAGUCCAAGAGGUAAGGAGGCUUAGUGGAUGAAGCAUCUUCCGACAUCUCCAAUGUAUCCAUACUUGCGCUCAACAACCCCGUUUUGCUGGGUGUAUAUGGGCACGAGAAUCUCUGUCGAAUGCCAAGAUUGGAUAGGAAUUGACGAAAAUUGUGACCGACAAACUCGUCGUCGGCAUCACAUUGAAUAUUUUUGAUUUUAAACGAGAGUGAUCGUUCGACCGAUUUACAAAAUAAGACAAAGUUUGAAACGAAAUCGGAUUUGAGAGCAAGAGGGAUGAACCAAGUGAAUCUUGAGAAGUUGUCGACUAUGCACGCAUAUAUAUUAUCGGAAUCCUUCUUUGGAGCUAACCGGAGCCGGUCCUCAUAGGUCUAGGUGGAUAAUCUCUAGAGGUUCUCUUGAAGUGUAUGUGUGUGAUAGAACUAAAAUUCUAUCUAGAAAAAUUUCUGAAAUAAUAUUAAACAAAUAAUCGACCUGACUAAAUCUUGUGCCCCGAUCUGUAGAUCGGGAAUUGAUCUAAGAUUUACAAGACAGAAGCAAGGAAAAUAACAGUAAACGAAAUUGACCUGAUGAGAUUCGGGCGUCUCCGAUCAGUUGAUCGGAGGAUCAAUUGAAAUCGAGACGGAAGCGAUGCUCUGCUCACUCGCGAGAGAUGAUAGCAGAACCUGGAACGAGAAUGAGGAAUUCGGAGAUCGAACCUCGCUAUGCUCAGCACUUGCUGGACGAGUUCGUCAAGAAUUCCAAGAAAAUCUGUUACUCGACACUUUGACGGAGACUCUUUCAAUUGGACAGGGAGAAAACCUUGAAUUUUAUUUGCAUACCUUUCAAAUUACUUUUGGUGCCCUUUUUAUAGGGGAAUUUACAAUUGAGUACAAAAUUAAAAGCUUAUUACAACUACUAAAGGAAAUUUAUAUCCUAAUUAACAGUUUUUUUAUUACAGAUUUUUAACUAAAAAUAAAAGAGUCAUUAAUUAUUAAAUCGGAUCGGAGCUUUCCUUAUCCGCACCGACCUUCUAACUGGUUGCUCUUCUUCAUCCUUGGACGCGGAUCCCUUGCUGUCAACGGAUAACACCUCUUCUGAACUUGUCACGGAUCCCUUGCUUGUAUCUGAUUCUUCUUGUUCUUCCCUUUCCGAAUUCUCUGACUCAUUUUUUUCCCUCUGUUCUGAUAUUGUCAAUUCUAAUUCUUGCUGGUCAUCUACUGUUUCUUCAUCAAUCAGCCUGCAGAUGUCUGAUAUAACUGUUUCUGAUGGUAGAUUUACUCUAUCAGUGCGAUGAUGAAACAAAAGUCUCUUGGCCUUAUUCAUGGCACAAACUUGACAGAAUGGAAGGGUGGACGAUUGACGAUCAACGGAAAGAGGUGCUGAAUUUAAAAUGCAAGAUAUGACCGGUUGUGCAGGAUGGCCCAAAACCGGCGAUGCCAUAUCACCGAAGUAACUUUAGUGCAAACCAAAGGCGUACAGUUUGGUUUUGACGAAGCUUGCUUGUAGAUUAGUUAGGUGAUAGAGCCCUUGGAUGCUAUUGCCACGCAUGAUUGUAUUCUCCAUUCUCUUGGCCUUCACGUCAAACCCAAUUUUAUCAAAAAAAAACAUAAUUUAGAUCGCGAGAUAAGGAUUGAAUGGAAAAGAGAUUUUUUUAUAGAGACCUGGAACAUAUAAGAUAUUGGAGAUAGAGAUUUGACCAAGAGAGAUCGGGAGAGACAAUGCUCUGUCUUAAGAUGGGAAGUUGAGACCCAUUGCCAACCAUUACUAUGCCGUUACCUUGGUAGGGCUGAGAGGCGGAGAAGGAGUUGAGUGAGGGCGCCAUGUGGUUGGACGCGCCACUGUCAAGGCACCAUGAGUUGUCGAAGGUCACUGAUGGUGCGUUGUUGUUCAAAGAGUGGGUGUUGAAAUCGUCUCCAAUGAGAUGGUUGUUGUAUGCGAAAUUCCUCCUAUUGUUACAUUUGCGAGUUGUGUGACCGACGUGGUUACAUAUUUGGCAUAUUUGAUCACCAUUUGAAGCCGGAGUUUGUAGGAGAGGUGGGGAGAAAUGUUCCGGGUGACGGUAACUGAGUGGAGGAGCAUUGUAUACCAGGGCUCGUGGGUGCACCUGAUUUUGCAAAUGGUAGAAUCGCGCCCACGUCUGCAAUUGAAUCUACCACCUCGGAAACGCCCACGUCCUUGGAAUCUUCCUCUAAAGUUGUGGUGAUAAUUAUUUUGCUGGUUAUUGUACGACGGUGUUUGUUGGUUACUUCCCGUCGUUCGUCUGCUCUGUUGGGCUGUGAAAGCUAUUGGGUUUGUCGGGAGGCCUUGUUCUCCUCGAUAAGUCCUCUUCUUGGAGCAGGUGGCUCACAAGUUCAUCGAAGGAGGUGGUUGGGUUGAAGUGUAGGUGGGUGAGAAAGCUACGACAUGUUUCAUCCAGUCCAUCGACCACAUACCCUAUAAUUUCUUCUUCCUUUAUGGAGGAGCCAAUUGUGCGCAGAGCAUCCACUGUUGCUCUGACGUCUGAUGAGGUACUCGAACAUUGUAGUGUCUUGUUUCUUCUUGGUUGCUCGGAGUUUCGAGCGGAGAGCCUUAAGAUAAAUAUUGCACAGUGGUGAUCGACAAGAAUCUGUCAAGCAGUAGCCACGCCUCCUUGGUCGUGGUGCAGUGGAGUAUCAUUGCUUGGACGGACGUCGUUGAUCGAAACGGUGGAUCUUAUCCACAUAAAGACAAGUUUGUCAGACUUGACUAACUUAUUGUACUCCGGAUAUGCUUCUCUGGUGACUGUCUCCGCCUUUUGGUCGGGUUCAUCAAUAAUCGGAGACAGAUCGUGCAGUUUUAAAACUUCUAGAAAAUGUGACUUCCAACAUAUGUAAUCGACUUUGUUUAUUAGGUUUCUGAAGAGAGAGUUGAUCUUGUAGGCUGUAGGGAGACAAUGGGGGUUGACAGAAGCUAGAAGUUGGUGUUUGCAGUAUUUUCAUGAUGGUGGUGGGAUGAUAUUGGUGGUGGUUGUGUUUGCUUAUGGGUUGUUUGUGAUGAUGUUUGUUUAUGGGUGGUUGAUUGGGAAGGUCUUGAAAGAAAGUAGCGAGCAUGUUUUCGAAAAUGAAGGAAAAUGAAGUUUAGGGAUAAGAAUCGGUGAAGCUCUGAUACCAUGUGGACCGGACCGGAGCAGAUCACCCUCCACGAUCCGCCCCGUUCUUAACUCUGGUUUUCUAUUAAAAGUAAUAUAAAUGUAAUGUAAUUUUUUUUUAAGGUGAUUUUGAUUAAAUAGAAAAUUAAGAGAUUACAAACCAAUUAACUAAACAACUAAAAGUAGAUAAGAUGUAUGGAAUAGAUGUAGCGCGCUAGUUCUCGGCUUGAAGGUCAAAAACCAAUAGCGAGGUUUCCUCCUAUCUUCUGGUAGUUGUAUCUGUCGCUCGUCGGAAGUGGAAAACUGUUUUUCGCGAAAUGAUCUCACUCGCGGUCACUGGGAGGCGUGGAGCCGAGGUCUCACUCGAGGUCAUUCGAUCAAGUUAAAAAAGAGGUUAGGGAGGAGAUUUGAUCUGAAGGCUAGGCGUGGAGUGUAGCUGAUCUGGGGUGACCUCGCUCGCUCCCCAUUUCUCGAUCUCGCAUGCUCGCUCUCUUCCAAUCCCUCUUUCUCGGUCGAUCGCCGCCAGGGCUCGCUCGCGGUCAGUGACCGGACUUCAACUCGCGCGUUGGCAUGGCUCGCUCUCGCUUGCUCGCUGGCACCGGUCUUCAACUCUCGGUCGAAUCGCCGACCGGGCUCGCUCGACUCGCUCGCGCUUAAUGACAUGCCUUCGCUCGCGGUCAGGCAGCCUUCCCUUCGAUUUGCGAUCAGACAAAUGUUUCUACUUCGCGCGAUUCACUCGCUGAUUGCGUUAGCUCGCUCGUUCGCUGGAGGGCGAACGAGCGAACUUCUCUUCGCUAGGGAUUUGUCUGUAAGGGGGAAAAUCGCUCCUCCGGUUUGAUAGUGGAAAUGUAUUUUAAUUUUUAUUUACUUAGGCAAGUGCUUUUGGUAUCUUAUUAAAAAAUGAAAAGUUUAUAGGGUAAAUUAAUAUCUCAAUUAAUUACCUUACAUUUUACCUAAAUUGAAUGAUAUAUAUAUUAGGAUAAAGUAGAAAAUGUAAUUUUGCAAAUAAGCAUGGAUAAUUCUGUCAUUCCACAAACAAACUCUAUAUAAAAUUUCUUAAAACCCUUCUACAGAGCGAGUCGUCCAUUUCAUCAAAUCCUAAACCCUAAAAAUCAUGCGACCUCCUCGUGGCGGCGGCGGUUUCCGUGGUAGAGGCGACAGAGGUGGUCGUGGCGGUGGAGGCAGGUUCGGUGGUGGCCGUGGUGGAGGAGGUCGGUUCGGUGGUGGUGGAUACCGUGACGAGGGUCCUCCUUCUGAAGUCGUGGGUAAAAUGCAUUCAAAUUCAUUUCCCCCCUUUUUUCUUCCUCCACCUCCCUAUCUGAGAGACUGAAACUGUCUGUUUUUUUUUUUGCAGAGGUAUCUUCGUUCGUGAACGCAUGCGAGGGCGACGCAGUGACGAAAUUAACGAAUGAGAAGAUUCCGUAUUUCAAUGCUCCGAUUUAUCUACAGAAUAAAACUCAGAUCGGCAAAGUGGAUGAGAUUUUUGGUCCGAUCAACGAAUCUGUUCGUUCGUUCUUCCACUAUUUCUUUUAAAAUUUGUUAAUCUUUGAUUGGAUUUUAAGUCAUUCAUUAAAUCAUUGCUCAUUUUUUUUUAAUCUUUGCUCUUUUUGUUUGCAGUUAUUUUCAAUUAAGAUGAUGGAAGGGAUCAUUGCAUCAUCGUAUGCUUCUGGGGAUAAAUUUUACAUUGAUCCUGCCAAGUUGUUGCCUUUGGCUAGAUUUCUUCCACAACCAAAGUAGGUCAAUUUUUUAUUCUUAUGAAAUUUGAAAGCAUAUUGUUUUGAUAAAUUAUCUGUUUUGUUAAAUUGAGAGGAAACGAUUUGCAAUGUCAAUAUAAACCAAUCCUUAAAACCUUGUUUAUGAUAUGCUAAAGGUAGUAGAUAAGUAGAAUUCACUUUAGGGCUUGUUCUUGGUUUCUUGCCUCUUGGUAUUGUCAAUUUUUAUGGCUAUUUCUAGAAACCCUGUGUUAUAAACUAAGAGUAUUUUUUGCCAACCUUUUGUGAUUGUUAUAAACCACUUGGUAUUGGGGUUUUCAUUUAUGAUUUUUUCAAAGCAUUUUUUGCCAAACUUUUGUGUUACGACUUAUGAGAUGUAAAAUUGGAAUGGAUUAUUUGUGAUUUCAGGAUUGUUAUUGGGUUUAUUUUUAUUUUUAUGAUCAUUUUUGCAAUCCAAGCAGAGUAUCAUAAGAUUUUAAUUGAGCUGUUUAGGGUUUAUUAGUUUUACUUAUCAUUCAGUAAGAUUGUGAUUUAGCUGUUUAGGGUUUAUUACUUUUACCAUUCAGUAAGUUCUAACCUUUAUUACUUUUAUUAGAUGCUAGUUGAAUGUUGAUUUGGGUUUCACUGCUGCCAUUUAUAAUAUGUUUAGCUUGGCUUAGUUGAUAAGGAUUUAUUCCGACCUCACACUGUUACUUUAAAAUGCAGAGGGUCACAACAAGGAAUGAGAGGACGUGGAGGUGGAAGGGGUGGAGGAAGAGGAGGACGGGGAGGGGGAUUUCGUGGCAGAGGUCCUCCAAGAGGUGGUGGCAGAGGUCCUCCAAGAGGUGGUGGUGGUCGUGGCUUUGGUGGUCGUGGUGGCGGUGGUAGAGGAAGAGGAAGGUUUUAAGAAAUAACUAAGAUGCUACAAAAAAAACUUGUUUUUAGGUUUUGAAUCAUCAUUAUGAGCUUCAAAUUAAUUUUUUUAAUUAGUUUAGUUUACUUUUUGUAGGUUUAUCUUAUUUAUUAAGCUUGUAAUUGUUAAAUCAGACAAAAUGAAUGCUUUUAUCUUUUCUUUUGAGGAUCAAUUUGCAGUUUUCUUUGGCAGAUAGAAUUUUUUUUUGGAACAAUCUACACUGAUGUUAGAACUAGGGAUAAUAGGGAUAAUGUUAGAACUAGUAAUCUUAGAAGGGCACAUAUAAGCACAAGAGCUGUUGGUAUAUAGAAAUAUAGCUAAAUUCGACAAAAAACUACAUACUUCAUUAACAUGUUGUAAAUAUGUUUGUGGCCAACAAUAAUCGUCAAUCAUAAACAAUAGCAGUGACAAUCUCUACUAUCAUUUUUACACUCUCUGUUUUUGCUGACUGCUCGAUCAGACUGACAAAAACAAUUGCAAACAUCAUUAGUAUAAUGUUCAAUGUUAUUGUUUGAACAACACCUGCUGGUACCUAAGAUGCGAAAUUCAGGAUUUCGCGCUAUACAACCUGAUGUAAUUGAUCAAGAAAUGCACAUGGAUAAAUGAAAUAUUGAAACUAUUAUAGUAAAUAACUGAGAAAAUAAGAUGCAUUGUGCGAUUUAAACUUUUGACCAUUACCUGUCACCGAAAUCACGAUCAUCAAAGAGAAAAAAAAAAAUGCUACGAUGUUGGAUCUCAUCAUCUUGAUUUUUACCGUGAUAAUCUAGUAGGUUGUCCAAUAUUUUGUUGAGACUACUGCAAGUAGAGUCUUCAAAGAUACUACUUCUGCCACAGAUGAAAAGGUCUCUUUGACUUUUCUAUCAGGUGGUAUGUCAACAAUUUCCCAAAUGUUAUUAAUUUCAAGAGCAGUCAAUCCUUCAUUCAUUGUCUUUACCCAUUUUGGGCUUUGGCUUUCCCGAGAGAAUGAGGUUGGCUCAGAUGCUAUCGAUUUUUUUUUCCAGAUAAUCUGUGUAUGAUGUGGACAGUCUCUUAUAUGUGAUAUAAUCAUGCAUUGGAAAAGAUGUUCCUUUUGAUUUUCCAUUGCUUGUGGCAAGAACAAAAAUAAUCUUUCAAUCUUGCUGGUGUUACCAGAUUUCUCUGAGACCUCCUAAGUGUGUUUCCCUCAUCCUCAUUGUUUAGGUGAGAGGUAAAGAUGUGUUCUUGGUUGUCAAGUUGGGACCGAUCAGAUUCACACCCAAUUGUAGAUGAAUUUAUUGAAGAUCUAGAGUUGAAUGUGUCCAACUCAAGUGAAGGAGUUGGUUCAAAUUCAAUGUUUAGAUUCUGAGAUGAAUCCUCUCAUAUGGAAGUGGUAAUGGCACCUAAAAAAGAAGUCCUGCCAUGUGUGUGGGGCAGGAGGUAAAGACUUUCAUUCAAUUCAGGACUUUGUCAUGAAUGAAAACACAAUUUUUAGUAAAUUGAACAGUAUAAUUGUAACAUCCUACUUAGGUAUGUUAACAAUCUGAUACUAAAAUUUGACAACGAAAUAAAUUUACCUGUCCAAUAAUUUUAUAAAUUUAAAUACCAAACAAUACUAGGAUUUUAAAGGUAACUAAAACAAGGUUUUACUAACAACAUUGUUUAAGAUCGAUCUAAUUUAAUGAUUGAAAACUCCGAGAUGUUCCAUCCCAUCCUCGCAUCCCGUAACAUCUACUUUCACUCAUCCAUAAAUCAAAAUAUGGAUGAGUCACUAUAUCAUGACUCAGUAUGGUUUCCUCUACAUAUCAGUCAAACUGCAUUUUAAAGCAAUCAAAAUCACAAAUAUCAAGUAGAUCAUAAUAUUUUUUCACUAUAUUAUAACACUCACACUUCACAUAUAAUUUCGUCAUCCGAUAACACUCACACUGCACUUGUCAUUUGGUUCAUACCAACAUUCCCAUCACUCACUCAAUAACACUUUACUUACCCAUCACAAGAUCUCACUUAUAAAUUCACAAAUCAAUUAACAUCAUGAAGAUAAAUGUAGACCAAUCUGUAAUUUUAAAUAUCGGUUAAAACUCUGAAAGAAAGAGUAAGAAUUUUGAAAAUCGUAUGAUAGACUCACAUUCAACAAGGAAGCUAUAUUACAAGAUGUACACCAGAGAGUACGGCUAGAGGAUGGUGAGGAAAGCGAUAGAGAGUUACCUGACAGUAUUGACGGAGACUGGGAAGAUGCAGAGGACGAUCUGGAGCAUGAUGAAGACGACGGAACGGCUGCUGUUUUAAGUGACGCGGAAGAGGAAAGAAUACCUAGUGAAGAGAUAGAAGUUAUAAAUGAAGAGCUUGGAAGAGGUAAACGAGCCAGGCGGGUUCCAACUCAUCUUAAUGAUUUUAAGAUGAGUUAAUUAAUUUAUUUCGUUGCUGGACUUUUAGUGGGCAUAGCCAUUUCGUUAAUUUAUUUUUCAGACUAUUUAUAGACUUUGUAACCCUAAACCUAGGGAUUAUCUUUUAAUAAUUAUCGGCAUUUGUGCCUCCAAACAAGAGGACAGGGUCCAAACAAGACGACGGUUUCAUCAUUUAUCAUCGUAGUAGAUAAAUAGAAAAUCAAACCAAAUGAUAUAUGUCUAAAUAAUCAUGAGAUUGUAAAACUCUAAAAGUCAUGUAAAUCAACCUGCAAAUUCUAAACGUCGGGUAAAACACCGAAAGAAAGAAUUUGAAUUCUGAAAGUCUGAAAAACUAAAAUUUAACCAAAUUUAAAACUAAAUUCUACAAAUUAAACCAAAUUCUGAAAUUCUGCAAAAUUUAACUAAAUUCUGCAAAAUCUGAAUUAUGUAAAUCAAACCAAAUUUAAAACUAAAAAUCUGAAAAUAAAUGAAAUAAAUGUUCCUGUAAACAAAACAAAAAAAAAUCAACAAAUCUGCAGAUAUGAUCAGAAAAUCUGAAUUUGUUUAGAAUUAAACCACUCUACCGAUCAGUGUCCACAGAUCUACAAAUCUGAAAAUAAACUUUCAUCAAUCAGAACAUAAAUACCAUAUAUACCGACAUACAGUUCAGAGAUGUUAAUGAUCGAUCCUAUCGAUCCCCCAUAUGAUCAAAACCCAACCCAAUCAUUGAUGAAAGUCAUUCACGAAACUAGUGAGAAAACAUGUCAAUAAAUAAUAUAACAAAUAGGAAGAAAAGAAAUAAUGAAACCAAGGUACCAGUCCUUCACAUCCUACAAAACAUAUGUCAUAAACACCUAGGGUGACAUCAAAAUAACACACGACAGAAUAACAUCUGUCACAUUAAAAGAUCUAUAAUUUACCAACACACCCACUUUUUAACCGAUUCUAAUCUCUGAAUUCAUCACAUCAGUCACCCAAUCCAGCAACAUUGAUCAUAAUUUUUAUGUUUGCAAAACCCAAAGCCACAUGUAAAUCAAUGUAUCUUCAAUAUUCAGAAAUUUCCCCUAUCUAUUUAUGCUCAAAAAUCUUAUAUCUCAUUUUGUUUUUGAGACCUUUUCCUACACAAUCCACACCAAGCUUUCCAACCACCUCGACACCUUCUCACUCGUUUCCCGAAUGAUCCCUCGCCGGAGUUUCGUCUUCGUCCCCAUCCUAGUUUUGCCGGAAUAGUUGUCGUUCUUCUUCCACUCACGUUUCCCCCCACCUUCCCUCUUUCCAUCCUUUGUCUAUAUACUCCUUUUUUUUCUUUUUAAACUCUAACCAUUAUUUUAACAUGUUUUCACUUGAAUGGACCUAACUCACGAAAUUGGCCCACUUAAGUCGAAACUUAUAUAUAUAUAUUAUAGAAUAAAAUUCAGAAAAACUCACCUAAUAUGAGUUCAAUAGUGUUCAAGUCUGUAUGAGGAUGUGUGCAACCAAAAUAUUAAAAAAUAAUAUAAUUAAAAGACGGUUUAGAUGACUUUGCACAAUAUCCAACGGUUCAGAUAGGGUGAUCGUUUUUGAGCUCACCCUAUGCUGAGCUUACUGGAAAAAAGUAAGAUAACUGAGAGUAAGUUAGCUAACUGAGAGUAAGUUCACUUGGAAGGAAGGAUGACAUAAAAUACACAUUUUUCAUAAAAUUAUGAAACAUUCACAUUUAUGUAAAGAUUUAAAUAGAGAAGCAUUCCCAUCAAAUUUCAUCUCUCAUCAGUGUGUCUAAAUGCUGCACAGUGGUAGCAGUAAUAUUUUGUGUUUAUUUGCCUACCACUUUUGUAGUAAAUGAGUUCAGUGGGAGGUGGAAGCCUCUUCUUUGGAUUUGAUGAAGAAGGUUAAAUAAUGUACGGCGCAAAAUAAUAAUAAUAUACUGCAAAAGACAUUAACACAUGUACGACGUAAAAUCGAUCUAAUGGACAUGAUUAAUUUGACGUAUUUUGACCUCGACACACCUGAUAAUUACUAAAUUGAUUUAAAUGAAAUGUUUAAAUAACUUAACUAGAUCAAAACGGAUAUGAAUACAGAUUUCGGUAUACCAUUUACAGGCUUAAUCAGAAUAGUGUGGUUGCACCUGAUCCUAGGGGUGAACGCGGGUCAGGUGGAUAUUUUAGAUCACGAAACCUGAUAUGAAAGACCUGAAUCUGAGUUUUUUUCAUUCGAUUUGAGACCCGAACCAAACCUUACUCACCUGAAACCUGAAAAAAUUAUUAAAAAAACUUUAAAAUAUAAAUAAUAUAAAUUCAUCAGCCCUGUUUUUGUAAUUUUGUAUCAAUUCUUAUAUUUUAUUGCAAGUUUUUGAUUUGUCUAUGAAUUUUAUAAAAUUACAAAUAAGAUAGAAUGUAGGAAAAUAAAUGUAAUUAACCUCUCCAAGAUUGUAUAAAUAGAUCUUUUCUCUAGGGUUUCGUCUCUCAAAAAUCUUUAUUCUUUCGUCCGGAACGGCACCGGGAACCUGAAAAGAAUAGACCUGAAUUCAAAGUUCCCGAAGUAGGCGGCGAUGGUUAGUGAUUCAAUCCAAGAUCUAGAUUUUUCCUUCUUCCGUUCUGUUUUGUUGUUUUUCUAGAAAUCGAUUGUGUUUGUUGGAUCGACAUUCGCUAGAUCAAAGGUGUUUUUGUUGAUGUUCUUAUUAGGCUUUAGUUGCAAAUGAGGAUUUUCAGCAUAUUCUCCGUGUGUUGAACACGAAUGUGGAUGGGAAGAGAAAGAUCAUGUACGCCCUUACCUCCAUCAAGGGUAUUGGACGGCGUUUUGCAAACAUUGUCUGUAAGAAAGCUGAUGUUGACAUGAACAAGAGGUUAGAUUGAUCUCCUUUUUUGGAUUCAGCCCCCUGUUUUUUUAUAAGAUAUUUCGAUCAGAAUAUUUAAUUCCUCAAUAUUAAUUUUAGAAUAAGACCAUCUUGUAACUCAAAUCCCUAUUUACUUUAAACUUUCAAUUAUUUCUUGUUUCCUAACUGUUGGUAUUUUCAAAAAUUUCAAUUUUCAAUUUGAAUGAUUAUUGAAUCAGUAUCAUUCUGUCAAUUUAAAAAUCACAAAUAAUGAGUAUUUUAAUAGUUACAUUCCAAGAAGAUAUUCUGGAUGUUAUAUUUCUUUGUUCUAAUAAAAUUAAUUUGUUCUUACCAUUUUUUUAUUCUAUAAUUUAAAAUUUAUGUUUACAUGUUGAAAAAUAGCUAAAAUAUGUUGAGAUUCGUUCAUGUUUUAGCUACACAUGAACUAGACAACAUAACUUAAAAAAUGUCAUUCAAUUUUGAAAAUAGCUUAUUUUUAUUUCCAGGGCUGGUGAAAUAUCUGCAGAAGAGCUUGAAACUUUGAUGACCAUUGUCGCAAAUCCCAGACAAUUCAAAAUCCCAGACUGGUUUCUCAACAGAAAGAAGGAUUACAAGGAUGGAAGAUUCUCCCAAGUUGUUUCAAAUGCAUUGGACAUGAAACUCAGAGAUGAUUUGGAACGUUUGAAGAAGAUCAGGUUUCCUCAUCUUGAAAAUUUAUUUCUUUACAUUCUAUUAAAUCUAGACCGUUACUUGUUCAAUCAAUAUAUGGAUUGCAUGCAGGAAUCACCGUGGUCUGAGACAUUACUGGGGUCUUCGUGUCCGCGGACAGCAUACUAAGACAACCGGUCGCAGAGGAAAGACUGUCGGUGUUUCAAAAAAGCGUUGAUUAUUCGUUUAUGUGUGGUUUUUUAACUUUUGUUCUCUGCUUAUCUUUGUUGAGUAAGAUUUUGGAUUAUGUGAUAUUUUGAAGAAUGAUUUCACUUUAGAUUAUUUAAAUCUCGACAUCAAUACAUUAUUCUGUAUGCUUUUAUUUUAUUCAAAUUGUUUCUUGUUUUCUUUACUAUAUACAUGGAAUUUAGGCAAUAUUUUGUCAAGGGUUUGAUUAUAGAAGAAAAAUUAUAGACGCAUCUGUGGAUGUACUCUCCUACGACGAACAAAAUGAGAUGCGGAUUCCAUGUUCUUGAAAGAGUUGAUCUAAAAUGAGUUGAGACCAAUUCAGACGAGGUAUGUAACUUCAGAGGCAUGGUCAUCUUUGAGGAUGUUAGCAGGAAUGAUGUGAACAACAUGCAGUCAUAGAUGAGUAUGUCAACCUCAUUAGAUGACAGUAAGCAAUAUCAAUAAACAUAGUUAGCAUUGCAUAAAAACAUAGAGAGAAAAUAGCUCAUAGGAGAUUGAAUACAGAGAUAAGUUAGCCAAAAGGUGGAACAAAUCUCUAAAAUCUACACACAUGGAUCGACAACACAAAUGUAAUACUUGAUGAUAUGAUUAAAACAACAAAUCCACAAAGAAAAAAAAUUCAUUGACAGAAUCAAAGCCUCAAAGGUAUAGUCAUUUAAUCGUAUAUGUGAUUUGACUAUGACAAUAAAAUGUUUACGGUAAAAAAAAUUAGGGCUAAACAUUUGACAAACAACGGUAAGAGGACAUACCCCAGAGGUUAAAUAUUUCAAAUAAUUUUCGCAGGCAAGGACGAUGGCGGUAGGAGCUAGGAGCUAUAUAUAUCGGCUAUGUUGAUAAACGAAAGAUAUAUGAGAAGGAAGAUUCGACCAUAAAUAAGUUCGUCGCCUAAACUAUCGGAAGAAAAAUCAUGGUGGACGAUAACAAAAUCUACAAUGGUAUGAACGAUCGUGGGGGCAUCGUACGGGCGAGCCGACGUCGUACCCGACGAAGGACAAAUCAGAACCUCCAACCACGUACGAAUGGUGAAGGGACGGCGAAUGUACGUGCUUCUGCAAAAACAUGACGAACGGUCUGCAGCGAUCUGCAGAGGAAGAGAACCGUAGCAAAAUCGCGAAAUAACAAUCAAUUUCUCUUAUGUUUGGUUUUUUCGUGAAACACUGAAUUAUUUAAAAAUUUAAACUCACUUAGGAGUUGAUGAACGAAUCCAUGUUAUUUCACAUGAUAUGUUCUAUACUCUGUUUCACAGGAAAAUCUUGAUAUUGUGUUUUGUUUUUUUGACUUUCUAUGAUAUUAGUGAACUUCCUAACAUUAUACUGUAUACAUAAUUCAGAUGUGGAUUUUUUGGUUAUUUGGAUUACAAUACCCAUGUAUGUCCAUUUUAUUUUCCUUUUUAUAAAAAAACAAAAGUAAAAUAAAAUGAGCAAAAAGUUCAUUGACUCUUUUCCAUUAACUAUGUAAAGAUAACCAUAUUACUCAUUCCUUAUUUUUCAUAUCUUAAUUAUCUUUAGCAUUCUUGCUGCUCUUCCUUUUUUUCAGGUUAUACUUUUCAUAAUCUCUUGUUCUUAUGAUUCAUAUUCCCUUUAUACAGUUUUAUCUGGUAUCAAAUGUCAAUCGAACCAACUGGAUAAAUAAACACUACAAAAAAAUAAGACAUUGUAUAACGAACUUUUGACGGCAGAACAAUAGCUUUCCCUAAGAUUAAUAAUGAUACCCCAGCCCAAUAAGCCUGUACAACCCAAUGGAUCGGGCCCAUCAGGCUCAAAAAGAUUCUUGGUCCAAAAGUGUUAUUGUAUAAAUAUUCUUAAAGGUGGUGAGAUUUUGACCAUUUGUAAAAAAUAUAGAAGAAUGUGUGGUAUAAUAUUUAUUUUUUAUAUAUAAUAUCAAUUAAUUAAGAUAAUAUUUUCAAUUAUCAUAUAUUUUGGAUUUUUGGUGAGUAUAAAUUUACAAAUAUACCAUAUUUAUUUGAGUCUUAAGAAUUAUUGAAAUAUAGUCCCACAUCCAAUGAAUCCAAUAAAAUAUAUUGUUAUAUAUAUCAAAGACUAGUAUAAUAAAUGUCUCUUCGGAGACAUCUGAUAAAAUUGGAACGAUACAGAGAAGAUUAGCAUGGCCCCUGCGCAAGGAUGACACGCACAAAUCGAGAAAUGGUCCAAAUUUUUUUGCCUUUUCCGCCACCCGUUCCUGCGAUUGAUCUUUCUCAUUUAGAGUUCAUAAGGUUCUAUUCUGAUUAUUUCUUUUACCAUUUCCGUCUCUUCCUCCCAUUUUUGCGAGGGUUACAGUUUCCGUCGAUGAUUGAUGAUCUGCUUCGUCUAGGAGUUCUGAGGUUUCUUAGACGUUGAUGUUAAAAAUAGGUACAGUAUUUUUAUUUUGAUUGUUUCUUUUCCUACUUUCAAAUUUGAUUUAAAUCCAACGAUUUUACCCUCAAUUUUUUUUUUACUACAACAGCUCUUCAUUGAUAAUCUGAUUGUUGUAUUUGUAGUCUUGUAGAAUGCUGAUAUUAUUUCUACCUUUUUUUUUAGUUUUUCUUUCUUUCACUAUUAACAUCUCUAUAUAUCAAAUCUUUUCAAUUUUCUAAACUUCAAUUCAUAAAAACCAAGCAUAGAUUCAAUCUGUUUUUCUUUUUAAAUGUUCUUCAUAAAAUCAAUUUUCUUCUGUUUUUUCCAGAAGACCAUAUCAAUCAUGAUUCUUCAAAAUCGCCAGAAAGGAAUGAAGCCAAAGAAAUUAUACCAGAGGAAGAUGGUGAUAAGGAAAGUGAUUCCACAAUUUUUAACACAAGACCAUUUGGUUCUUCUUCACAUACCAAUUUGACAGUGGACAAUGAUGAGCACAAAAAGGCUUGUCAGGUAAACAGUUAGAAUAUGCUGACUGAGAUAUAUUUUCAAUUCAAGUAACACAUUUAGAUUAUGCAGUAUUAUUGAAAUUUAAUUAUCUGAACCAAUUCAUCUAUUUCUUUGUUGAUAGGGAACUUCAUGAUGAAGUAACUGAAGCUAGAGAAAAGGUUUCGUCGCUUAAGUUGCGAAGGCAAGAAAAAGGGGCAAGUCGUCGGGAGAAAUUGAGACCAGCAUAUCUUCGAAAGCAAUUGGAGAAAUUCAAAGCUGCCAAUGCUGGGAAGUUAUCAUAGCUCACAGUUCUUCUUAGUUAAUGAUCAAAUUGACUUAGGAAUCACGCUGAUAUGUCAAAAUAUCCUCUGAUGUUGCAUAUCAUUUGCACUCUCAGCCACUCAGGUACUUCCAGUGUUAUCUAGUCAAGACAAAACCAUUUACCCAACCAAAGUGUAGAUUAGGCUGAAGAAGAUGAGAGAUCGGAGGUGUGUGUGCGAGAGCAGUUAGGGUUCGGAGUCGAGGGGUCGCCGGAUGAGAGCUUGAGACGUUUGGAACCCUAGUAGGAUUUAGUGUUUUUUGAUAUUUGAAAAAGUUGAGUUAAAAGUUAUUACAAGAACUAUUUAUAUCAUGACCUAAACUUAAUGGGCCAACAUUGGUUGGGCCUGGUCAUAUCUAAAAUAAUAUUAAUCUAAAACAUUAAUCUAAUUACUUAAUCUUAAUACCCCCCUCAAGCUGGAGAGUGUAUGUCAUAGAGUCCCAGCUUGGGUAGCAGACUUCUUAGAGCUUCAAGACUUGUCGGCUUUGUUAAUAUAUCUGCAAUUUGAGAUGUUGAUGAAACAUGCUGUAGUUUAAAUAGUCCAGCUUGUAAAUGAUCACGAAUUAGAUGACAGUCAAUCUCUAUAUGCUUUGUGCGUUCAUGAAAAACUGGGUUUGUUGCAAUGUGAAUUGCUGCCAUAUUAUCACAAUGUAGUGUUGUCUGUCUUGAUGGUUUUACCUGCAGAUCAUUCAAAAAAUAAUGCAACCACAUAAUUUCACAUACAGUUGAUGCCAUAGCCCUGUAUUCACUCUCAGCAGAUGAUCUACUGAUAGUCGUUUGUUUUUUUGAUUUCCAAGCUAUAGCAGAUCCACCUAAUAAGAUUGUAUAGUCUGUUAUUGACCUUCUUGUAUUGGGGCAGUCUGCCCAAUCUGCAUCACAGUAGGCCUCUAGUUGUAGAGGUGCAUCUCUUUUGUAUAAGAUACCUUUCCCUGGUGCACCUUUGAUAUAUUUCAGUAUUUUGAUUGCUGAGUUAAAAUGUGAUUGUUUAGGUGCUGCCAAGAAUUGGCUAUGAUGACUAACUGAAAAAGCUAUAUCAGGCCUUGUGAUUGUCAAAUAUAACAAUUUCCCAAUUAGCUUCCUGUAAAUUGAAGGAUCCUUUAAUGGGGCAUCCUUCUCAGGGUUUUUGUAGUUGUGGGACAUUGGAAUUUUAGAUGGAGAGGAUCCCAGUUGUCCAAAAUCAUGUAGUAUAUCAAGGGCAUAUUUCCUUUGUGACAGGAAUAUACCUUGGUUUGAUUGGGAUACCUCAAUUCCUAGAAAGUAUUUGAGUUUACCCAAAUCCUUUAUAUGGAAUUGUAGAUGUAGGUAUUCUUUUAGUUUUUGAAUUUCAGCUUCAUUAUCACCUGAUAUAAUUAGAUCAUCCACAUAAAUAAGUAGACAAGUGUAUGAAUUUGUAGAUGAUUUAAAGAAUAAUGUGUAGUCAGAGUGAGAUUGGGUGUACCCAAACUUAGUCAAUGCUGAGGUGAGUUUUUCAUACCAAUUCCUGUUUGCCUGUUUCAGGCCAUAUAAAGACUUCUUUAGUUUGCAUACCCUGGUAUCACCUGAGGGUAGCAUCCCUGGAGGAGGAGACAUAAAAAUCUCUUCAGAUAAUUCACCAUGUAAGAAGGCAUUACUUACAUCCAUCUGAUAUGUAGACCAGUUUUUGGUUGAGGCUACUGCUAGCAGUGUCCUAACAGAGAUGAUCUUUGCCACUGGUGAAAAGGUUUCCUUGUAAUCAAAGCCUUCUAUUUGAGUAUGUCCUCUUGCUACAAGUCUGGCUUUUAACCUUUCAAUUUGACCAUCAGACUUGUGUUUGACUUUAUAUACCCAUCUGGAUCCUACUAUCUUCCUUUCUUUUGGCCUUGGUACUAUUUCCCAAGUAUCAUUCAGUUCAAGAGCUGCAAGCUCAUCAUUCAUGGCUUUUACCCAUUCCUGGCUUUGACUUGCUUGUUUGAAGGAUGUUGGUUCAGUUGUGAUAGAGAUUUUGUCUAAGUAAUCAGUGUGAGAAGUAGACAGUCUUUUGUAUGUUAAGUAAUCAUGCAUUGGAUAUGAUGUGCCUGUAGAUUUCCCUGUGCUUGUGGCAAAUGAACAAAAAUAAUCAUUUAAUUUUGUUGGUGGUUUUCUCUGUCUACUUGGAUAUCUUUGAUUUUGUGUUUGAUUCUUUUCUGAAUUUUGGAGUAUUGCUGGUGCAUCAAUCACCUCUGUUAGAUCUGAGUGUUCAAUAUUUGAUGUUGUUGAGUUUGUGUCAGACUCAUCUGAGAUUGAAUUGAGUUGGUCUGUCUUAGAGAGAUCAGUGUCAGUCAAUUGACUUUUGCUUUGAUUUUUGUUUGAUAUUUGGUCAUUUGAUUUGUUUUCAGAUGUAUCAGUAUUCUUAUUUAAGGGAAACCUGUUUUCAUAAAAGAUCACAUCUCUACUUAUGGAGAUGUGGUGAGUAUCUAACUCAUAUAUGAUAGAACCCUUUUGGGUUGUGGAUUGCCCUAAGUAUAUGCAUUUUCUUGCUCUGGGGGAGAACUUGUCUUCUUUUACAAGACAAGUUGCAUAACAUAAGCAACCAAAGGUCCUCAGACCUUCAUAGUCAGGUUGUUUGGAGUGCAUGAGUUCAUAUGGGGAUUUAUCUUCAGUCACCCUAGAUGGUAACAUAUUGAUAAUGUGGGUGGCCUGAAUUAUUGAGUAUCCCCAUAACUCAAUUGGUAUUGAGGAUUGAAGUUUUAAGGACCUAGCUACAUUUAAGAGGUGUUGGUGUUUCCUCUCAACCACACCAUUCUGUUGUGGUGUGUGUGGGCAACUAGAAUAAUGGAUGAUUCCAUUAGUUUUGAGGAAUUCAUCCAUUGUUGAGGAGAAGAACUCUCCACCAUUAUCAGUCCUUAUAGCCUUAAUAGACUUACCAAAAUGAUUUUUGAUAAGAGCAUGCAAGUUUCUGAAAAUAUUGAAACACUCAGACUUCACAGUAAUUAAAUAUGUCCAAGUAUAUCUAGUAUAAUCAUCUACCACAGUUAAAAAGUAUUUCUUCCCAUGGAUUGUUGAAGUGUGAAAGUUCCCCCACACAUCCAUGUGAAGUAAUUCAAAUGCAUGUUUAGUUCUAGAAGCAUGCAGUGGAAAUGAUUUCCUAGACUGUUUAGAUAGAUGACAAAUAUCACAGUGUUCAUCAAAAGUAAAGUUUUUAAAAUCUAAAGAAUUGUUUAAAAUGUUUUUAAGUCUGUCACUAGAGGUGUGACCCAAUCUUCUGUGCCAUGUUGUUGUAGUGAUGGCACCUGCAAAACAGUUUCUACCAAUGGUUUGUGGUAGAAGAUACAACCCUUUCUUCAUUUCACUCAGACCAACUUCCUUCAUCUGAACCUUGUCAAAUAUGAGGGCACAAGAUUUAGAGAAUUGAACUGCAUAAGUAUCAUAUUGUGUUAAUUUGCUAAUUGAUAGCAAGUUAACUUGAAAGGAUGGGGUAUAGUACAUAUCCUUUAGUGUGAUAUCAGAUGAAAUUACAAUAUCACCUUUUUGGGAUACUGUCUGACUGUCCCCAUUGGGCAGUGAGAUCUUAAAGGGAUCACACUUUGUAAGUUUUAGAAAUAAAGAUUCAUUGCCACUCAGGUGUUCUGAUGCACCUGAGUCAACAAUCCAGUAUGUGUUAAUGGAAUUUGAAAAAACAUUAUUAGCAUUACCUGAAUCUCUGCGCUUAGGCAGGGGUCUUGGAUUGUAUUUCUCUGAAUAUAAUGGAAAGUCAUAUGGUCCAAUUGGGUUGUCAGGAGAUUCAGCUUUCUUUUCAUCACUGUCCCAAGCAGACCAGGUUUGUUCAGAGUGUACACAGUUGGCUGAGCCCUGUGCCUUGUUAACCACAGUAGGUGUAGGUGUAACAGGUUUUGGUUUUGCAACAGAGGAGGUGUUCCUAGAAGGAUACCCAUGUUGGUUGAAGCACUUCUCAUCACUGUGCCCAAAGGCUGCACAGUAGAAACAUUAGUACCUUGUAUUUACCUGUUUGCCACUUCUGUAGUAUAUGGGUUCAGUAGGUGUAGGUGGCCUUUUUCUUUGGGUAGAUGAGGAUGGAGUAUCUGUUGGUUUAGUUGGUUGGUAGGGUGCUUUUCCUUUGACUGAAUAGAAGGCAGAGCCUUGGUUAUUUGCAUUCCUGGUUAACUGUUGCUGGGCUUCUUCAUGGAUGACCAUUGAGAAUACCUUUCCAAAGUUAGGCAGCUUAUCCAUAGAUAGUAUAGUUGACCUUAUUUGCCUGUAGCUGUCAUUUAGGCCCAUCAGAAACUUCCUAACUUUGAGCCUUUCUUCCCUUUCAUUUAUCCUGCCAUUGACAUUGCAUGUGCAAGUGAUGCAACUACAUCUUGGAACCUCACCAUAAGCAUCUACCUCUCUCCAUAGAGUUUUGAGGGUAGCACUGAACUUAGAGACAGAAUUAGACUCCUGUUGGAGCAUAGCUAUGUCCUGAGUCAGUUGGAAUAGGUGAGUUUCAUUUGAUUGCCUAUACUGAUCUCUGAGAUCAGCCCAUAUGAUAGAAGCAUCAUCUGUGUACAUGAUCUGUGAAGCUAUCUCUUGAGAGACAGAGCUCCAUAUCCAUUGUCUUAUGAUCCCAUGACAGGUUACCCAUGCCUCAUGUUCCUCUAGAUCACAGCUCAGUGGCUCCUUAAUAGUACCAUUGACAAAUCCUAAUUUUCUCCUAGUGAUCAGCAUUGUGGUCAUCUCCCUGUUCCAGGGGUAAUAGUUUUGGCUGCCCUGCAGGAUGUUGAUUAUUGAAGGAGGUCCAUAGUCUGUGGAUUUGAAAAAAUAUAUUGAGGUGGGGUCAAACAGAGGACCACCCAGGGGUUUCUUUUGCACAACUGAGGCACUCUGAACAACCUGGGAAUUCUCUGUUCCAGACAUGAUGAGUGUUCUGUAGCAUUUCACAUGAUAGUAAAAUUGCAUUAGUUUAACUUUGACUAAUCUUGAAUGAAUCAAAGAUAGUAUAUUUAGUUUUAAAUCAAAUAGAUUGACUUUGUCAGUGGUGAUAGUUCCACUUUUGCUUUUGUGAUUGAGUAGCAGCGGAAGUGAUGUGUAGUAGAUCAUCAGUUUGAUUAUGCAAAUGCAAUUAAUAAAACAAAGAAUGUCUAAGACUAAGCAUAACAUGAAAUAGACCUCACAUUGCACAGUUAACGAAUAUAUAUGUGUGGAAUGUAAGAUUACUCUAUGUAAUAUAUAGAUUAAGUUUGAGAAAAGAAUCACUCUAAUAUCUAAUUUAUUUAGUAAUACUAAACAGUAAAAGCAAGUAUGUAUCAGUGAAUGAAUAUCAUGUGUGAUUAAGUAUUGGAGUAUGGUAUCGAUUAUCAUAGCAUUGAGAAUAACAUGCAUCGAUCUAUAUGUAUGUCUGACUAGUCCAUUCCAGUACCCAUGUAAUAAUAUUCCUCCAUAUAUAGUAUCAAACAUAGCAUGAAACAUUUGUAUUAAGUAGAUCUGUCCCUUUGUAUAGGGUUUUGUUUCCAUUAAAGAUAGAUAAAUGAGUAUGUAGAGACAUGCAGAGUAUCUUAGUAUGAGUCUACAGUAUUUAGUUGGAAGACCAUACAUUGUUACAUUUUCAUAGUAUUGGUGGUAUGUCGAGUUUAGAAAUGAUCUAAGAACAACCCUACUGUGACAUGCAUCAAGAGAUCUUCUAGAUCUAGGUCGAUAAACAUGAAUAACAUUCAUAGUAUAUAAAAUGAACUCAAAACACACAUAGACUAGCCAAGGUUUAGGUAUACCAGACUAGCCAAGAUUCAGAGAAUGUUUGAUGAAAGUUCGACGAAGUUGAAGCAACCAGAGGAAACCUUGAAGGCUUGUAACACUGGAACCCUAGCAGCGAUGGUAGCAGCACAGCACGCCAAGAGGCUCUGAUACCAUGAAGAAGAUGAGAGACCGGAGGAGCGUGUGCGUGAGCAGUUAGGGUUUGGAGUCGAGGGAUCGCCAGAAGCAAGCACGAGACGUUUGGAACCCUAGGGUUUUGAAUUUAGUUUUUGAAAAGUUAAUGAAAAAGUUAUUACAAACAACUAUAUAUACCAUGACCUAAACUUAAUGGGCCAACAUUGGUUGGGCCUGGUAAUAUCUAAAUAGUACUAAUCUAAACCAUUUAAUCUAAUUACUUAGUCUUAAUAUUAACCUCCUCCACUUCAAGCUUUUCUCCAUUAAUUGUUGGAUUAUUAACCUCCAUCACUGAAAACUUUCCGACAUUAACUUUAUCACCUGAAACAAUUCCAUCAUCCACUACAACAUUUUGAUCAGGUUUGUAAUUAAACUUCUUUUAAAACAUCAUUCUCCACUACAAUAUUUACAUCAUCCACAUCAUGAACCUCUUCAACAACAACAUUCUGAACCUCACCAAUCAAAUCCAUCUGAAACAGUGUGUUAGCAAUCGUAGAAGCUAGCCGCAAUUGAAGAAUUGUUUGCAAAAUGUUGAGCGAUAGCCAUACUAACAGAGUGCAGAAAAUCUAUUGAAUUGAUUGUAUUAACUUUCAUACAUGGUUUAUUUAUAGCUAAUUACUAUCUAACUAUUAUUUGUUAUAUUAGUUAUUUAUUAUAACUAACUGCGUGUUUCUGCUUCCUUAACACCUCCCUUCAAACUUAAUUAUUGGGAGUGAGUCCAUAAGCUUGGAAAACAGAUAAAAAAAACGUCUUGCGGCUUGGUCAAUAUUUCGCCCAGUUGCUCCGUUGAAGAGAUGAACUUUGUCUCCAAUGUUUUUCUUGCUACCUGUUCUCUAACGAAGUGAUAUAUAUUGUAUCGCCACGUGUUUCGUCUUCGCGUGGAAGAUGGUUACUGUUAAGUAGUUCGCUCCCAUAUUGUCGCAAAAUAGAGUCGCCAGGAGUUCUAUCUUUCUCCCAAUUCUUAUAAUACAGAUUCUAUCCAAUUUAUCUCCGAUGUCGCGUCUGCUAGGCUUCUAUACUCAGCCCUAGAUUAACGGAAGGAUUCCAAUAUCGAUCGAUCGAUCUCAUUAUCUAUUUAUUUAUUUUAAUCUCAUUUGAAUAGAAAAUAUUAGAUUAAUUUGUUGACCUAAUUAGCUAAUAUUGAAGUCACACAGGCCUGUAGAAAUCUGACCCAAACAACAGAUAUAGAUUCAGUAAUAGAGGAAGAUAGAAGAAGAGAAAAAAGAAUAACGAAAAGGUUUAAUGGAAUUCAAUAAAAUCUUAGAGGAUCAGAUGAAAGAGUAAUUCAAUUCUUGCUAAUUGGUAAGGUUGUGUUCGGCUAUUGCAUUUUUGACCAUUUAGGGUCGGAGGACAUUUGCAUUUGAAAAGGUUUAAGUUGAUGAAAUCGAAAAGUUUUCUAGCAAACACCUGAAACAAUUUCAUCAUUUUCCACUACAAUAUUUACAUCAUACACAUCAUGAACCUCUUCAACAACAACAUUCAAAACCUCACCAAUCAAUAACUCCAUCUGAAAAAGUGUAUGUUAGCAAUCGUAGAAGCUGCAAUUGAAGAAUUGUUUGCAAAAUGUUGACCUUUUUCUUUGAAUAAAAAUCGUGAUAAAUAUAUACCCAAAAAAUUGGUACACCACGUGACAGUGAACCCCGCUGAACCUGACCUCAUAUAGAGACACGCUCGAAGGCUACAAUUAACACAAAUCGUAAUAAAAACAAAGACAACUCACACACUCCCUAAAAAACUCAUCUGUCUAAUCUCAGGUUUUCACACACCCAUCCCUUUCAUCUCGGUUUCAGAAACUCUUCAAAAAGGUUAAGAUAUGCUUCCUCCCGCCAUGUGCUUGUGUCCACCCGAGGGCUCGACACUCUUACGCGACCAUAGUUCAUUGAAAACAUCCUCCUUCUCCUCCUCCCCGAAAGAAUGCAAAAUAUUGACCGAUAGCCAUACAAAUAUGCUUCUCAACAUCGGGACCAACGUUUAAGCUAGCUUUGAGAGCAACUUCCAUAACAAUAAACAACCUUCUUUGAAUCAUCAACAUGCAACGAGGAACUUUUGGGGCAUUGUAAACUGUUAGCUCCGAUGAGAUUUUAGAGUACAAGAUGCACCGGAGAUGUCCACCUCCUCCUUCUGCUAAAUUAUUAUUAUUUUCCUUAGAAAAAUGAAGUUUUUGAGGUAAAAUUAAUUUUGGGUUUUGACAUGAAAAAGCUUUCAUAGAUGUAGAGAUUGAAGAUCACCGAAGAAAAAUUCGAAACAUAUGUAUAAUAUUGUUGACCAUGUCGAUCAUGAAAAUACCAUACUCUUACUGACCAUCUGAUUGCAUCCUCCGAUCCGGUAACGGUUUAUGGAUUACCUCGACGAGGAACAACGGCGAGCCAUCAGGUUGAAAAGCUAGCUAGCUCUUCUAUUUUGUUGAAAUACGGUGAGCAUUUCAUAAACCAGAUGUUUAUUUCUUUCAUAAUAAAGUCAAAUCCACCUAACUAUAACUAGGGUUUUUUCUCGUUUCAAUUGAAAAAUGAAAUAAAGUCCAAAAUUCCAAUUUUUAGGGUUUUGUUUGUUCUUGAUAAAACGUCAUUUCAUUCAUUCAUGUGAGAUAUCCAUUCCUUUUAUUCCGAUUACAUUAAAAUGAGACAUUUAAACUAUUAAUUUAAUUGCCACCACUUCCGUGUCCUGAACCUGAACCUGAACCAUAACCAGAACCUCCUCCGCGACCUCCGCCGCCGCCACCGCCGCCUCCUCCACCUCCACCUCCACCUCCUCUAAUGCCAUUUCCUCCGCCAUACCCACUACCUUGUCCAGAACCAUACCCUCCGCCCACUCCAUUACCAUACCCUCCGCCCACUCCAUUACCCAUUCCACCGCCUCCACCUCCUCCCAUUCCACCGCCUCCACCUCCUCCCUUUCCACCACCUCCACCAUAUCCACCACCUUUUCCAGAACCAAACCCUCCACCUCUUCCAGAACCAAACCCUCCACCUCCUCCUUUGCCCCCACCUCCGCCUCCUCCCAUUCCACCGCCUCCGCCUCCUCCCAUUCCGACACCUACGCCUCCUGCAUGACCAGACCAAUACCCUAUCAUGUUAUGUCCAUGUCUACCACCGUGUCUGUAGUGUGUGUGUCUGUGACCCUUACCAUGUCCAUAUCCAUGUCCACUUCCGUGACCGUGACCGUGUCCACUUCCUGCACCAUGACCAGAACCUCCUCCGCUUCCACCACCUCCGCCUCCACCAGAACCACCACCAACUCCUCCACCAUGUCCAUGUCCAUGUCCAUGUCCACUUCCGGAUCCAUGACCGGACCCUCCACCCUUUCCACUACCUCCACCACCGCCGCCGCCGCCACCACCACCACCUCCUCCUUUUACACCACCCCCAUGACCGUAUCCACUUCCUGAACCAUGACCAUAGCCUCCACCCUUUCCACUACCUCCGCCGCCACCACCACCACCGCCGCCGCCGCCACCUCCUCCUCCACUACCAUGACCAGAUCCACUUCCAGAACCAUAUCCAGAUCCUUUUCCACUACCUUUGCCACCACCUCCUCCGCCACCACCUCCUCCUCCACCACCACCACUACUUAAGAGUGUUCUAGCAGCCGUAGUCAUGCUCAAGCAGAGCAUGACAAGAAUCAAUGUCGCUACAAACUUAGAGGCGCCCAUCUUCAUUUGAUGAGAUUACAGGAAACGAUGCAAGGGUAUUUAUAUGUACUUUCAUACAUAUGAAAAUAAGAUCAUGCAUAGAUCAAGACACAUGAAGAACUUCGUUUGUGCUUUAUUUUAAUCAAGAAAAGUCUUUGUUAAUGGUAGUGUUGUGAUGUUACUAAUUAUAUAAUUAAUACAUGUUCGAGAAUCAUACAUGCAUACAUGUGCUUAAUUUCUAAAUUUUGACCCAAUUAAAUGCCCUAAUAUUUAACCAAUUAACAUACCAUAUAAAAUUAAAAUCCCAUUAAUGAAACGUGAUCUACUCUCUCCAUGAAUUCCAUCUCUCUUUAGAUGUAGCCAAAUCAUACACGUACAUACUCAAUUCAUAAUGGUUGACUAUGAAAAUACAUUUACACCACCGACCGAUUAGAUAUAAAUAAUGCAUUUCUACAUUGUGAUUAAAAGAAAAAAUAGUUUUUUGAAACUACGUAUUCAUAAUAAAUAUUUCAUGAGAUAUUAAUUUAGACCGUUUAUUUAUAAUAAAUUAAGGUAUGACCUCGAGAUAUCGUUUAUUUCACUAAAAGAAAACAAGGUUAUAUAUACCUACGGGCUUAGCCACUGAUUUCAAUAGCCGUGACUAAUUGUUCAAUAAUAGCCAUGGAUUUUUUAUACAUGACUAAGACCGUGAUUAUUUUGAAAAAUUAGUCACGACCAUUUUUUUUUACUGUUUUAAAAAAUUAGUCACGGACAUUAAAUAAAAUAGUCACAGUUAUUAAAUUAAAUAGUCACUGAUUUUUCCCACGGUCUUUAGCGACGGCCUACGCCCACGGUCUUUAGCCACGGCCUACGCCCACGGUCUUUAACCACCAGACCUACGCCCACGGUCUUUAGCCACGAAUUUGAUCAAAAGGCCAUUGAUUUUGGUCGUGGGUGAAAGCCUGUUUUCUUGUAGUGUUUUAUUUAAAAUAAAUGAACGACCUAUAUUAAUAUCUUAUUAUUUGAAGGUUUUCCUUUUAUAUUACUAUAUAUUUCUUAUGGUGUAAUUAAGUUCAAAUACUAAAAAAAAUAACCUAGUUGGAUUUUUAUGGAUGCGUUCAAACUCGAAAUGAUCUAAAAAACCUUAAUUUCUACAUGAUAUAAAAAAUGUCUAGCUCUGAUCAGUAGGAGUGAGAACGGGACGGUGUCCUAUCUUCGCCCUGAUACAGAGGAUCGAACCUGCUCGUUCGCAUUCUUGAUAUUCCAGAAAAAAAUUCUACCAGUGAUGCACUUGGGUGUCCCUCUAUUAGGGAGGUAAAUGUUAUUUGCAGAUUAUUAGAAAGUAACUAAGCUAACAGAAUAACUGUUAGUUGUUAUAGAUAAAUAGUAUAAAUACAGGAGAUGUAAAAUCAUAUUCAAUCAAGUAAUACAAUCAUAUUUUCCAGUAGCAACAGUUCACAUUUGCGAUUCCAAUCUUCCGUUUCUAUCAUGGUGUCAGAGCUUGAAGAAGGUGGGUUUUUAUCGUCCCACAUUGGUCCGACUUCCGCUGCAGGAAACGGGACGAACAGAGAUGCAAGGAAACUGGUUACUAAACAAAUCAAAUACGUCAUCAUAGAAGAAGAAAAUUUAUUUUGUUGGAAGGCGCAAUUUUCGGCCCUGUUGAAAGGUUACAAUCUUCUAGACUACGUCGAAAGGGGAAGAUGAACAUCACUCCAGAGACCAUUGUCGAACAACAAGACCAACUAAUUUUAAGCUGGAUCUUGACAUCGGUGUCAUCGUCGAUCCUCCCACAAGUUGCUGCCUUGACAACGUCCGUCGAAAUCUGGAGAUGCCUCAAUGAUAUGUUCUCCUCUGAUUCGGAAACACGCCUUUUGCAUCUACGUUUCCAACUGCAGAACAUCAAGAAAGGAGAUCUGAGCGUUCUUGACUACUUGAAGAAGAUCUUUGUCGUAAAGGACAAACUGGCCGCUGCAGGGGAAGGGUUGAAAGACUCCCAAAUAAUUUUGAUCACUUUGGGAGGGCUUAAACCUAGUUAUCAGCCUUUUGUGACUUCAAUCACAACAAGGUUUGAUAAUACAAUGACGUUUGCACAAUUCAAAAGGCUUUUAAUGGACCAUAAUCUGCAAUUUAUAUCUUCAACAUCAAUUCCAUCAACUGAAACAAACAUUGCGAUAAAACAAAAGAAUGAUGAUCGCCGGGACCGAAUUUCGUGCCAGAUCUGCACAAGGAAGGGUCACAGUGUGAAAGACUGUUAUCAUCGAAUAAAUUUCGCAAGAUUCCCGGCAGCAACACAUUCUUGUCGCCUUAUACCAACAAUAAGGCUAAAUAACCAAACAAAUGUCUCCAAUCAAACAGUUCCAACCGCAAAUAUAGCUGUAACAGGUCAUGAAUUCAUGAUUUGGUAUCCCGAUACGGGGGCAACUGCUCACAUAACUCACUCAGGUAAUAAUACACCAAAUUCUUUCAUCGAUUAUACGGGUAAAGAUUCAGUUUUUACAGCUAAUGGAGGCACGAUGAAAAUCAAGAAAGUUGGUAAAAUCAUAUAGCUUUGGAUUUAAUAUUAAAAGAAAUUCUAUUACUACCUGAAUCGUCAAAAAAUUUAUUGUCUAUUUCUCGUUUAUACACUGACAAUAAAGUUUAUGUCAAAUUCGACGAACAGAGAGUGGUAAUAGCAGAUCAGGAAACCAAUGAGGUCUUAGCCGAAGGAGAUAUGGUGAACGGGAUAUAUAAGAUGUCUCUAAACACAAAUAAAGAGUAUCAUGCUUUAUCGGUUCAGAAAAUUACCGGAGGACGAUGGCAUACAAGAUUGGGGUACUUAAACGAGAAGUUAAUUCGACAUUUAGUUAACAAUAAUGUGUUGCCUAAUGAUACUAUGUGUAAGAAUAUAACAAACUGUCAUUCUUGUGCUAUACAAAAAUCACACAAUUUGCCACAUAAACAAAGCAUUCAUAAGUAUUCACCAUUACAAUUGAUAUUUUCCGACAUAUGGGGGCCGGCUUCAAUUGAUUUAGUCGGUGGUUAUAGGUUUUACAUAAACUUUGUCGAAGCAGUAAAAGUUUCAAUUGGGUAUAUCCGUUAUUCAAGAUGAUGAAGCACAGAAUCUGCUACCAGGGCUCGCGGUGGUGCGAGGUGAUGUCGGAGGCUCUGGAGUCCACGAUGCGCACUCUACGUCAAAUGCCUGCAAGUGGAGAAUAGGCGAUUCUUGUGGGAAUUGGCGAUUCUCUUAGUCGUGCUCUAGUGAGAGUGAAACUUGUGUUGUGUCUUUGAGUGUCCCCUUGGGACCCUUUUUAUAGGGACUCGGAGGGCACGAUCAAAGGUGGACAUCGCGCUUAUUGCCAUAUAUGGGUGCAUUUAUGGCGUAGGCUGGCGGCGAGUAACGGUCGUAAAUCGACGAUUCAGUUAUGAAAAUCGCCUAUUUAGGGCAAACUCGUCGAGUUUCAAGGGGCGAGAUAUGCAGUCUACCAUACUGCCGAUCUGGGCCCUAACUCGGCGAUUUGACCCUAAAAUCGACGAUUUGGUAGUCCAAUCGCGAUUUACGGGUUAAUUCGGCGAUUUGACGAUGAACUUGUUCCGCACCGUGGGAGCCUUCUGGGGGUCCGGCGUAAAACGACGGAACCCUAGUCCUUGUUAAAGGGCGUUGCUGGGAGUGACUGCCGUAAUCAGGCAUGUUUCACCACAAGAAAUCCGAAGUAACCAAUGUGUUUUUAAAGUUCAAAGAAUGGAUAGAGAAACAAACCAAUCACAUAAUUAAAUCAAUCCAAACGGACAACGCCAAAGAAUAUAAAGCCUUAACCAAAGCCCUUGAUCAAUUUGGAAUUGAUCACAGAUUCUCAUGUCCAUAUGAUCAUCCACAGAUAGGGACGGUCGAAAGACGACAUCGACACCUGGUUGACACAGCUCUAACAAUGUUACACUUUGCGAAUAUGCCUAAAAAGUUUUGGGAUUAUGCAAUUCUAACUGCGGCAACUCUCUAUAACAAAAAUCCAACAAGAAUUCUUAAUGGAAUAUCACCAAUGGAGACAUUAUUCGGUAAGUCACCAGAUUAUGAUAAAUUACGAACUUUUGGUUGCAGAUGCUAUCCGUGCCUACGUCAUCACCGGAGAAAUAAGCUAGAUGAUAAAUCGAUAGCUUGUAUAUUCAUUGGAUACUCACAACAAUACGAUGGCUUUCUAUGUUUUAGCCCAAAAGAAAAUAAAAUUUAUAUUUCAAAGAUUGUAAAAUUUAUAAAAGACGAUUUCACAUUAAACAAAGAUUUAUGAUCAAACUCCGACGAGCAAUCGAAAGACCAUAAAUCAACAUGAACAAUUUUCUCCAAUGAGUUGGUAAUCAUCAAUCAGAAAGCACUCCAGGAUCCGACACCCAAACUUUAUCAAGUAAAGAUCCAGAAUCAAACACGGAAUCCGGUUGGGAAGUUUCGAUCUUUCAAUCCGAAAAUUCAGGCACGACUUCGACGACAGCAUAGCCGAAGAAACGUUCAAGGAUGACCAGAGCAAGAACACAACACGAAGAAUAGAAACAAGAGUGUCACACGGGAUAUCCAAACCCAAUCCGAAGUACGGGUUAAUAACAACAACUGAACAAAUCAAUCUACCCAGAUCGGCGAAACUAGCGUUACAACAUCCGGGUUGAAAAGCAGCGAUGAGGGACGAAUAUGAAACACUCGUCAAGAACAGAACUUGGCGUCUCAUCCCCAAAACAGAACACGACAGGGUAUUUAAUACAAAGUGGGUUUUUAAAAUAAAACAUGUAGAAGAUGAAACGAUCCAGAGGUUCAAGGCAAGAUGGGUCGCGAAUGAGAUGAGACAGAUCGAAAGGUGUGACUAUAAUCAAACAUUUAGUCCAGUCGUAAAAACAAAUUCGGUCAGAAUUAUUUUAACAAUCGCAAUUACAAGAGAUUGGAAUUUAAAACAAAUCGACGUCUCGAACGCGUUCUUACACGACAACUUAGAUGAAAGAAUUUUGGUAACACAACCAGUUGGGUUUGAAGAUAAAGAGCGACCGGAUCACGUGUGUUUAUUGCAAAAAUCGUUGUACGGUUUAAAACAAUCUCCAAGAAUGUGGUAUCGAAGAUUACGAGAAGUGCUUGUUCAAUUAAAGUUCAGAGAGAGUUAUUCCGAUCCGUCUCUAUUCAUCUACGAUAAUGAAGGUGACCAAAUGUACUUAUUCACCUGCGUAGACGACAUAGUAGUUACGAGAUCAUCUUCAAGAUUGAUAGAAACAACUAUUGCAAAGUUGGGCUCAAAAUUUGCGAUCAAAGAACUAGGGGAUCUACGAUACUUCUUGGCGAUACAUGUUCAUAGAAAGAAAGAAUAAUGUUGUCACAACAACAAUACCUUCGGAAUCUCUUAUUGAGUUGCGGAUACACAAAAUUAAAACUGUCGACUACACCAAUGUUGUCUAACGAGAAGUUUGAAAUAAACGACAACCCACCACAGGAGUUGAGCGAAUAUUGACGAAUAAUUGGGUCUUUACAAUAUCUCACUCUAACCUGAUCGAAUGUUCAAUAUACCGUAAAUAAAUUGUCACAAUUCUUAAAUUCACCAAAUUAUGGACAUUGGACAACUCUUAAGAAAUUACUUCGGUCCUUAGCAGGAACACAAAAUCUUGGAAUUACAUUAACCAAGGUAAAAGAUUUCAAGAUAACAUGCUACUGCGAUGCAGAUUGGGGAGGCGACCCAAUCGAUAGGAAAAGUCACACAAGUUAUUUAAUAUACAUCGGGGAAACAUUAGUCUCGUGGUCAUCGAAAAAGCAAUCGGCAUUAGCAAGAUCAAGCACAGAGGCCGAAUAUAGGGUCAUAGCCACAACGGUCGAAAAAGCAGAAGGUGUACGAUCGUUGUUGACAGAAUUAUGGUACAAAUUUAAUUACCAAUGAAAGUACAAACCGACAAUCAAGAAGCUAUUUUCAUCGCAAACAAUCCUAUCUGUCAUAGCAAAAUGAAGCACAUCGCAAUGGAUUUUCACUUCAUCCGAGAAAAAUCUGAACAAGGGAAACUACAAGUAAGUCACAUUUCCGGGAAAGAACAACUCGCCGAUAUACUAACAAAACCACUACCACCAAAGCUAUUUAGGGAGGCAAGUAACAAACUAGUCGGACUCUGCCCUAUAAUUUGAGGGGGAGUAUUAGAGAGUAACUAAGCUAACAGAAUAACUGUUAGUUGUUAUCGAUAAAUAGUAUAAAUACAUGAGAUGUAAAAUUAUAUUCAAUCAAGUAAUACAAUCAUAUUUUUCGGUAAUAACAAUUCACAUUUGCGAUUCCAAUCUUCCGUUUCCAUCACAGAUUGUUGGCGCUUAAUUGAUAAAUUGAAACUAUUUUUAGCAAGAUGGUCCACAAAAUCGCCGUCUAAUGGUGGGUGUCAAUAACUCUCCAAUUGGGUAAUCUAUGAGUAACUUUUAUUUUGGUUCCAAAUAAGGUGUCAAACGAAUCGAGUUGAGCUUUUGCUUAUAAAGUCGGACUCGAACUCGGCUCGUCAAGAAAUUGUCCAAACUCGGGUUCGACUCGUUAAAGAAUUAUCCAGAUUCAAAUUCAAAGCUCAAGAGUUCGGGUUCCGUUCGUUAAGAAAUUAUUCAAGUUUGAACUCAAAGCUCACGAGUUCGAGCUCGGCUCGAUAAACUUAAAAUUUAUGAUUUAUGAUGCCAAAAUUUAUGCUAUCAUGCCAAAAUUCUCGUCGGACAAAUUUGGUGUGUUAAAUGUUGUGUGUUAAAUUCUUAAAUUUCAAAAGAUCUUUUGGGCUCGGCUUCCGAGCUUAUAAAACCAAGGUCAAGUCUAGGAACUAGGCUUGUUAUCUUAAACGAGCCAAACCCAAACCUGAUUCUAUAAGUUAAAGCUCUUUAACCACUAUUGGUUAAAAGUAAACUUGAGUUAACUUCCACCAUAAGCCGUACACCUGUUGGGUCGGGUUAAAUUCAUACUAUAGAUAUGGAUAACGGAUGAUAUUGAUCACACUAAAUCGUAACACUAGUUAGUGCUCACGUUUACUACCGGCGAGGAUGGCGGCAACCGCAAAACCGUCUGGGACUGCCGGAUUGGGAGCGAGGUGGUCUCUGCAGGGAUACACCGCUCUUGUCACCGGAGGUACAAGAGGCAUUGGGUAAUAAUCAUUAUCGAUUAUUGAUCAUCUCCACUUCCCGAACUCGAUCUGAUCAUUCAUGCACACAUUUUGAUUUAAUCAGGAGAUUUGUAUUUUCAACAUAUCAGGAACGCGGUGAUCGUAGAUCUGGCUUCGAUGGGGGCGGUGGUACAUACGUGCUCUCGUAAUGAAAUUGAGCUUGGUAAGUGUCUCAAAGAAUGGGGGGAAUCCGGGUUCCAAGUCACGGGAUCUGUUGCAGAUGUUUCUGUGAGGAAAGAUCGGGAGAAACUGAUGGGGGAAGUUUCUGCCAUGUUCGAUGGGAAGCUCAACAUUCUCGUGAGUUUCUUCUAAAUUUCUUCUUCCUCUUUUCUUAACGCUAAGAUCAAUUCAUUUGUUCGGUUCUGCUUUUUUUAAAAAAAAAUUAAAAUCAACAUAUUAAAUCUUACAAAAUUCUCUAACAGUCCAUCAGCACUAGUCAAUCAAUCAUCUCUAAAGAUCAAUAUAAUUGAAUCAAUCUACUUUUUUUGUUUUUCUUUUCUUGUCCAGUUUAAGAUUAUGAGUCAGACAUAAGGCUAUAAUCAAGUUGUUUCCAUGUGGUUUUGUGGUUUUUAGUAUCUUAUAAAAAUUUAGGACAUGUUUCUUGAGUAAUGACUGUAGUACAUAAAAAGGAUCAAGAAGAAGUUAUUCUUCUCCACCAAUCGUCGCAACAAAACCUUACACUGACCUUAAACAAAAGAAAUAGAUGUUAAGAUGGUUUUUCUGUAGUACUAUUCUGAGAGCUGAGGUAUUCUUACAAAACUUUCACAAUAAUUCCACAAAUGCAAAUUGGAUUGUCCAAUUAAACAAAAUACAAUGCAAGUGUGAAUAUGACAUUAGGAAAGAACAACCAUACAGCCUUCACUUCAAUCUUCGUCUCAACCCAAAAUGAGAGAUUUGAUAGGAAUUGGUAGAAAAUAUUAAGAUAUUACAGUUUCAGAGAGUGGAGUUGACAAAUAAAACACUUAAGUAAAACACAGAUUAUAAUUACUUGAGGUAAGUAAAUAUAAUUUACCAUCUUCUUAAGCUAGCUACAAACAGAAUCCUCUAGAGCUGGCGCCUGGCGGUCAUUAUAUUCCCUUAUGGUCAGAGUUUCAAGAGCAUUGUAUCAGUACGUGGUCGUUUUUGAUUGCUCACUUCGGAAAUUUAAAUGUGUAUAAUGCAACCUUUUCAGCUGCAUUUUUUAACAUUAUCAACAACUCUUCUUGUCACGCUAUUAUUAAUGUUUAUUUGGAUUUGAGUGUUAGAUAUCUGAAUCUAGCUGAGUAUUCUUCCUCGCUGAUCUUUUUUGCAUAAUUAGGUGUUUUUUGCUUACAAUUUUGUCAGUUGUAUUUUAAAACACUAUUGUCUCCUAAAUUCUCCAUGAUGUUAUGGAGAGUCGAGGUCAAAAGUCUCAACACCCUUACUAGAAUACAAGUAAGGGGUAUCGACCCUCAAACAAUCUGCCCCCUUUGUGGGCAAGAGAAAGAGAUAUUACAAUUUACAAUAUCUCUCAACAAUGCUAUCUGGAUAUUAAAGGGCAAGGCCUCUCUUUGCCUAUAGAUGACAUAGGAAUAGGUGACAUAAUGAAAACAAUAGAAAAAAAAGUUCACACAAAGCCAGUUGUUGGGGUAUUCACUAGAGAAUUACUUAUGAUGUCAAUAGAGAAGUACUUAGGGAUGUGAGUAUUACCAAUGAUGCCACCCCUUACAAGAAGAGCAAUCUUUCACAGAUUGAAACUCAAGCUAUAUUCUUAUGGGAGUCCAACCUUUUGAGACACCAGUCCAUGACUAGCUAACCAAGGUCAUAGCCAUAUAAGAAAGUGACAAUGUUUUUACAUUUUUAUUGUAUUUUACAUUUCCCUACAUUUAUAAUCAUCGGACAUUGUCCCACUCUUAUUUUCAUUAAUGAAAUCUUUAAUUCAUCAAAAAACAAAACUCUCAUUUUUAUCUGAAUUCUAUAUAUAGACAUUAAUCUAAACUUUGAACUAUCAUUUAUAAAUUAUAUACAAUUUUCACCAGAUUAAUAAUGUUGGGACAAAUAUUCGAAAGUCCACUAUUGAUUUCUCGGCAGAGGAGUUAUCAUUUCUCAUGUCUACCAAUUUCGAUUCUGCAUUUCAUAUUAGCCAACUUGCCCAUCCGCUUCUUAAAGCAUCAGGGAAAGGAAACAUUGUAUUCAUCUCAUCUGUUGCUGGUGUUCAGGCUGUAAAUUCUGGUUCCAUAUAUGCAGCUUCUAAAGGUAAUCAAAUUUAUUAUUUAUUAAAUUUCAAAGCUUCUAUUUUAUUUUGUUGGCUUAUAGUCAGUUGUCACUUGUUAGGAGCUAUGAAUCAGCUUACAAAAUAUUUGGGUUGUGAAUGGGCUAAGGACAAUAUCCGGUCUAAUUCAGUGACACCUUGGUACACCAAAACAUCCUUGACAGACGAAGUACGUUUUAAAUAAAGCUCUCUUAAAAUACAAUUUUAACAUUAUGAAACAAAAAAUUCAUUACCGCUUACUGCAGCUUCUUAAAAAUGAAGAAUUAUUAGAACGGAUAAUUAGCCGAACUCCUAUGCGACGGAUUGCUGAACCAGAGGAGGUAUCUUCUCUUGUGACAUUUCUCUGUCUGCCGGCUGCAUCUUACAUCACUGGACAAGUCAUUUCUGUCGAUGGAGGUAUGACUGGGAAUGGGUUUUUCCCAACACAUGAUUAGUAAAUUGGCUUUAUAGACGAUGUUCCUUUAUUUAAUGUCACUUAAGAAUCUGUUAAUCUAGUUUGUCCUGUGCAUUUAUUAUGUUAUCGGGCAAAUCGUAAUGAAAAUAUAUUUAAUCUUGAACCUUUAAAAAUCUUAAUAGCUACUGUGAUCAGUUAGUUAAUUUUUCAGUGCUUUUAUACUUUGAUUAAUGAGGUUACUUUAAUAUGCUUUACUUUUAUAUAUAUUGUAUGCUAUUUUCUGCCCGUAUUUACUUUUAAAAAAUCGUUUUAAAUCCAAUCCAUUGAAUUAAAAAUCAACCUAAUUUGCAAAUAUAUCUUCAAUGUAAUCUUAUUUAAUUUUCUUAAUUACCAAAUAGACUAUCUGAAUCUCUGAUGAUAAUCUACUUGAUCUUGCAUAUCUUUUCAAAUCAAUGGAAUUUAUAAUAACAUGACAAUAUAUACAGAAAAUACCAGGAGAGGUUGAUGCACUGUACCAACAAAUACUCGAUCUACCAUUUUCUUCUGGGUGCGAGUUUGAUCGAUUUAUUAGCAAUGAAUCAUCUAAAACCUCUCCUGAUGAUCAUUCUCUUAUCUGUGCUUAUUAGUUUUUCCACAGUGGAAAUGAGUUUGAUUAAACGUGUAUGUGAGUACAAUAGCCAAAAGUUCGGAUCGAGACGUUGUAAGGUUGAUUCUAUUUGUGACGGCAUUUGUAAAGUUGAAAUGUUUGAUGGAGGGUAUUGCAAAGGUCUAGUAAUUCGUAAAUGCAAAUGUACCAAACAAUGCUUUCUCAUCUGAGUUAUUCUUAAUGAUUUUGAGAUGGUGAAUAAUAAAGUUCAGAUGGUGACAAUAGUAAACAUGAUUCGUUAUUUAAUUUUACACGACACAAGACUUCGUGGCCGCAUCAUAUCAAGUCUCAUUUGAUCAGAGAUUGAAUAAAAAUUAAAAUACAUCCGAUUCAAAUUCUGGACUGCCUGUCACAUUAAUGUGGCUAUAUCAACUUGGCUAAUCAGUUUUCAAACUUAUAAUUGUCCUCUUCCUGCAGGUACACAAUUAAUGAUUGAGAAGAAUGUUGGUUUGACAUUAAAAAAAUCUUGACUCUCAAGGGAAACACUUUAUCUAUUUAUUAUAGUAUUUCACUUGUUCAAUUUUAUUAACUACUUAAUAACAAACUUAGUUACCCUGUGUUAGGAUACUCCCUCCCCCUGAAACUAAGUGAGAGUGUCGACAUUGGUUUGUCACAGAUAGAGAUGUAUAACGAACCGGACAUGCAGGUCACUGCAAGAAACAAAUGUUUCGACAACGCCAAAUCCAUAUAUUGCCGACCAACUAUUGGUCGCGCUGCCCAGUUCUUGGGUUACCGUAUAACGCGUGAAGGAAUACGCCCCCACGACCCUAAGAAAGUGGAAGCCUUCCUUAACAUGGCUCCCCUCACCACGAUAAAGGAGGUCCAACGCUUGAAUGAGUGUAUAGCGACCUGGAGUACGUAGGAUCCUCUCCAAGAGUACCUGUAGCUCAUUCUUCAAGCUGCUCGAGACGGCAGGACACAAUCCAUAUAUUGCCGACCAACUAUUGGUUGCGCGGCCCAGUUGGUCAGUAAAACCCUGAUAGUUAUUUAAAGGCAAAGAAGUGUGUGUUUAGGAUCACGGAAGGGCAGUUCCUGGGUUACCGUAUAACGCGUGAAGGAAUACACCCCCACCCUAAGAAAGUGGAAGCCUUCCUUAACAUAGCUCCCCUCACCACGAUAAAGGAGGUCCAACGCUUGAAUGAGUGUAUAGCGACCUGGAGUAGGUUCCUCUCCAAGAGUAUUGACAGAUGUAGCCCAUUCUUCAAGCUACUCGAGACGGCAGGACAAUGAGUAAUGUGGUCCCAAGCGCUAAAGAGUCAUAUGGCGGAGCUGUCAAAGUUGCAUGACCCAGAAUCAGGGGAGGUCCUUACAUUAAUUAUACGUGCCGAGCUCGAAAAACACGGUUAGUGCAAUGCUAAUCUCAUAAGGUCCAGUCGCUUAUAUGAUUUGACGUCAAAAAAAAGAGUUAUUCUUUCUGUGUAGAGGGAGAUGAUUUUUUUUCAACAUUAUAUGACACCCAAACAGACAUAUUUUUCACCUAAAAUCUUGAGACGCAACUGUAUAUAAAGACCCUAUGGUUCACGAGAUUCCAUAAUAUAUUCACAAAAAAAAAGGGUUAUGGAAGAGAGAAAGAAAGAAAAAGUAUGGAACACUCCAAUCCAAUGUGAGUUCAAUUAUUUGCUUGCUUGUUUGGUGAUGUUGAUGAGAAUAAUUAAAAAAAUAUUUGGAAAGUGUAUAUUCAAAGAAAGAGUGUUGAACAAGUAGGGAAAGAGUGUACAUUGAUUUUGGUAAUAGUAAACAUGAACAACAUUAUUGUCUGCCACAUGCAAUUUAAACUCAAAUUAAAAGACAUUUAUACCUUCAUUUAAAAUUCCACAUCUGUCCAUAUCAUUAACUAUUGACUAAGAUAUGGACUUUUGAGAGGAAUAGCUCAACUAUUUAAGUUGUCACAUUUGCUCUUAUGGUUUCAGAGUUCAAGAUUCGAGUCUCGCUGUAUACUUUAAUUAUAUUUUUGUUAUGAUGUAACUGAUCAAAUAUUAUAUGUGAUCUUUGUAUAUUAUCUGAAGGUAGAGAUUUAUACUUCUGUCUCAAUUCUACAUCUGUAUCAAUCAUUAAUUCUACAUCUGAUCAUGUUUAUAUUUUAAUUAUAUUUUCAUUACGAAAUAUUAUGUGGUUUUAGUAUGUAUAUCAUCUAAACGUAAAUAUUUCUAUUUCUAUCUUAAUUUCACAUUUCUAGACACCUUACUAACUAUUAAUAAGAUGUGAUAUUUUGAAAGAAAUAGUUCAACUGAUCACAUUACUGUUAAUGUUUCAGGGUUUAGAAUUCAAGUUUCGUAUUUUUAUUUUAAUUCAAUUUUCAUUACGAUAUAACUGAUGAUAUAUUAUAUUGUUUUUGUAUAUCAUCUGAAGGUAGACAUUUAUACUUCUGUCAUAAUUCUACAUCUCUCGGCCAUAAUAUUAAUCAUUAACUAUAUAUAGAAUGUAAAAUUUUGAGGGGAUUAGCUCAAUUUACUAUUAAAAUUCGAAUCUUAAAUAUGUACUUUAAUUAAAUUUUCACUACGAUGUAACUAGCUUAUUAUUAUGUAAUUUUGAUAUAUCAUCUGAAGAUAAACAUUUAUACUUCUGUCACAAUUCUACAUCUGUCUCAAUUCUAAUCUGUCUACAUCACUAAUUAUUAACAUCACUACAAGAAAAUAGAUCUUUAGGGACAGAUUCUGACCGUCCCUAAAUCUGAAGAAAGAUUUCGUAAAAAUUUCGCAAUGCUAGCGACGGUUUGGGGACGGUAUUAGGGACGGAUAUGAAAGCCGUAUUCAAAAAGUAUAUUACCUUGUAGUGCAUGCAUGUAAAAUUUUGAUUGAAUUAGCUUAAUUUAUAAAAGUUAUUUGUGAGAAUGAAACUUAUCUAUCUAUUUUAAUUAAAUUUUUAUUACGAUAUAAACAGUGAUAUAUUACAUGAUUUUGAAUUUUUAUUACGAUCCAUCAUCCAUCCAUCCAUCCAUGACCAUGAUCCAUCAUCCAUGAGUAAAAAAAUAGUAAAAUACCCUGAAAAUUUCAUUAUUUGUAUUUUUUUAUCCCUCAGAAUUCUAUUUAUGACAAAGAAGUUAAGACACCAUGGCAAGCUUUGGGAUAUUCGCCAGUGAGAAAGCUGUGGAUGGACGGACAAAAUCAAAAAGAGAUAGUAAAUGAGUAAAUGAAGAGAACUGAAAUCGAUACUGAUCGUUGGUUCGUUUGCCAUUCCAGUUCCCUCCACAUUUCUUCACAUGCAUCAUGAUCUUGCAUGAUACAUACCCAGCAAAACACCAAAACGAUACAAACAAAAAUAAAAUAUACACCACCAGUACCACCACUGUUCGCUCACUCAUAGGCGGUGAUGUUGGUGUUGACACCAUUCCCUCUCUCUCCAUUCAUUCCAUUUCCUUUUUAAUCGACACACACACACACAUGUUCUGAGACAGACCAGGAGAUCGAAAUGGAGAUCACCGGCGUUAGGAUGGGGAUCAGACCAACUGGUUCUGCCAUCAUGAAGCUACCGGGAAAUAUUGGGUAUGAGACCAGUAGUGUCUGGGGACGUAAGAUCAACUUGGGUUGUGCUCUGGGGAGAAAAUGGGGAAGGAAAUGCAUCAGAUCAUCAACACAAGCUGUCAUCACCUCACCUGUUGAAGAGACUAUCGUGGGUUCUUUUUCUUUUCUUUUUGGUGAUUGUUUGAUUGAUUGAUGUUUUGUUAACUUGUUAGGGAUUGAACCAGACAUUUCAGAGCCCAUUGUUUGAGAGACUGCAAGCAAAUCCCAAGAAUGUGGCUGCUAUUAUUUUGGGUGGAGGUGAAGGAACUCGUCUUUUCCCUCUUACAAGUACCAGAGCUAAACCUGCUGUAAGCAAGCAUUUACUCAUCUUAUUAAAUUCCUGGUUUACUUCACUUGGUGUGUUUUUUUGUACAAAUAUGUUCUGAUACCAUGUUAAAGGUGAUUGAAUCGCAGUUUUUAUGAUGGAGUGUCUAUCUUACUAUUUUGGAGCUUUAUGUAGUGUGGUUUCUUUUAAUUGUUGGUUUGUUAUCUAUGUUUUUUUUGCAUUGAACGUCCUUUGAUACCAUGUUAAAGGUGAUUGAAUUGCUUUUUUUUAUGAUGGAGUAUCUUACUAUUUGGAUCUUUGUGUUGUGUGGUGUGGUUUCUUUUGAUUGUUGAUUUGUUAUCUAUGGUUUUUUUUGCAUUAAACAUGCUUUGAUGCCAUGUUAACGCUGAUUGAAUUGCAUUUUUUUUAUGAUGUAGUGUCUUACUAUUUGGAUCUUUGUGUGGUGUGGUGUGAUGUGUUUUUUAUUUAUUUUUAUAUAUGAGUUUUUUUCUACAUUAAACAUGUUUGAUACCAUGUUAAAGGUGACCGCAUCGCAGUAUUAUGGUGUGUUAUCUGAGUAACUUGGAUCUUUGCUUUGUUUGGGUAUUAUUUUUAGUUAGUUCGUAGUUAUAGUUUUUUGCAUUAUACAUGCUCUGAUACCAAGUGAAAGGUGAUUAGGUCGGAUUAAAAUCCAGUGAAUGUCACACGAUUUGUAAAUGAUAGAGGGGGGUCUUCUGUGCAGGUUCCAGUUGGUGGAUGUUACCGGCUUGUUGACAUACCGAUGAGCAACUGUAUCAACAGCGGGAUAAACAAGAUCUAUGUUCUCACCCAGUUUAAUUCAAUGUCCCUAAAUCGCCACGUCUCUCACACUUACAACUUUGGAAAUGGAGUUAAUUUUGGGGAUGGAUUUGUGGAGGUGUUAGCAGCGACACAGACACCUGGUGAGAAAGGGAAGAAUUGGUUCCAGGGAACAGCGGAUGCAGUCAGACAGUUUAUAUGGCUGUUUGAGGUAUGUGAAUUUCUUUAGGAGGAAGGGAAAUGAAAAACUCAAUUAUCUUUACAAAGAUGUAAAUAAAUAUAAUUUAUUGAUUGAUAUUUUUUAACUGUUAACUAACACAGGACAUGAAGAACAAGAACCUUGAUCAUGUUUUAAUCUUGUCUGGGGAUCAGCUCUAUAGAAUGGAUUACAUGGACUUCCUGCAGAAGCACAUCGAUACAGAUGCUGACAUAACAGUAUCAUGCGUGCCGAUGGAUGAAAGCCGUGCGUCGGAUUUUGGAUUGAUGAAGAUCGACAAUACAGGUCGCAUAAUCAAAUUCUCGGAGAAACCCAAGGGUGCAAACUUGGAAGACAUGGUGAGGUUUAUCUGCUCUGUGACAUAAUCAAAUAGGAUUUUGAAAGGAAUGUUUAGUUUGGUAUUUUGUAAAUGAUGGAUGGAUGGUUGAUUGGCAGAGAGUGGACACAACUGUACUUGGAUUAUCCCAAAAAGAAUCUUUGGAAUCGCCAUACAUCGCUUCGAUGGGAGUAUAUCUGUUUAAAACAGAUGUUCUUCUGGAGCUUCUGAGGUGAUCACAUACUUUACUUUUGAUCUCAGCUGUCUAUCACCCAGCUAGACAUUCAAUUUCCGGAAUCGAUUUUUAUUUUAAUGGUGAAUUUAAUUUUUUGCAGAUCGAGAUAUCCAACGUCUAACGACUUUGGAUCAGAGAUCAUACCAGCAGCUGUGAAUGACCAGAAUGUUCAGGUUAUUUCCCAUCUCAAAGAUCUUCCUUGCUAAAUCCUAACUAACUAUGAUAUUUACUUACGUAGGCGUAUUUGUUUAAUGACUACUGGGAAGAUAUAGGAACGAUUAAAUCGUUUUUCGAUGCAAAUUUGGCACUAACAGAUCAGGUAACCAACAAAAUUAAACCUGUAGAUCGAUAUUUUUAAAUUUGAAUGUCGUUUUCUGAAUGAAUAAAAAAUGUACAGCUUCCAAAAUUUGAGUUUUACGAUCCGAUGACGCCUUUCUACACUUCGCCACGGUAUCUGCCACCAACCAAAGCAGACAAGUGCAGGGUAAAAACUCACUUUGCACAUCAUUUUGUUAGUUCAUGUCUAAAAUUAUUCAAAACUUACAGAUCAAGGAUUCGAUCAUCUCGCAUGGGUGUUUCCUAAGGGAAUGCAGCAUAAUUCACUCGGUCAUAGGAGAUCGAUCCCGAUUAGACUAUGGUGUGGAUAUGAAGGUUGGUUGGUUGGUUGGGUUUUUUUCUUCUUCAAAAUAAGAAAGGAAUUACUGCUAAACAUUGUAUGCUUAGGAUUCUAUGAUGAUGGGAGCGGACCAUUACCAAACAGAAGCCGAAAUAGCCUCAAUGUUGGCUGAAGGUAAGGUUCCUAUUGGUAUUGGACAGAACACCAAACUCAGAAACUGCAUCAUUGACAAAAACACAAGGAUUGGGAAAAAUGUUAUGAUCACAAAUCAAGAAGUAAGUGAAGUGAAUAACACCCAAAAAAAAAUUUCACAAUGAAAUGAUGAUGUUGGUUGUGGUUGCAACUUUUACAGGAUGUUCAAGAAGCAGAUAGGCCAUCUGAAGGAUUCUAUAUUCGUAUGGGAAUUACUGUGAUUCAGAAGAAUGCAACAAUUAAAGAUGGGACUGUUAUAUGAAAGCAUAUAAAUGAAUGUAUGUGUGUGUGUGUGUAUAACAAAAGAUGGAUCUGUUAUCUGAUGAAGAGAUGAAAGGAGGAGGAGAAGCAAUGUCUGAACUCUAAAUAGAUGUAAAAAGUUUUUUUUUUUAAGUCAAUCAGGUAGCCAUGUAGGUAGGGUAGGUCUCUUUGGAAGAAGGAAAAAAAUGUUGUGUUGUUUCUAUUUCAAACAGUUAUCCAUAAUAAAAGUCUUCACUCUACCUUUCUCAAUUUUUUCCCUUUUCUAUCCAACAUUCCAGUAUCUAAGUAUCUGCUGCAUGUCAAUGUAAUCAUUUGGACCAUAAUGGUUCCCAAUCUUAAAUUUUUGUAAUCUUGAUACAAUUAAUGUGAUACCAUUAAUCAUGCUUUUUGACGCGGCCAGGCGAACAGGCGAUACCUGGGACCGCAUACCGCAUAUGCGACCACCUGGUCGCAUAUGCGGUCCAAUAUGCGACAUGUUAUUUUUUUUAUUUUUUUUAUUUAUUUUUCAAUAUACCCCCUGUAUUUUCUAUAUUUUAAAUAAAUCCCUGAUAUUUAAGUCAUAAUAAAAAUCAUAAAUGAAAUAAUAUAGUGACUAAUGAUACUUAAACUCUUAAAAUCACAAAAACUUAAAGAAACAUACAAAACAACAAAACUAUUAGUUUCAAACAUCAAAGUACAAGUGUAAUGCAAACACUUAGUUCUUAGUUCUAAGUUCUAACUACACUAGUGUGUCGUCAAGUUCAUCUUCGACGUCAUUCAAGUGCGGAUCCAUCAAGAACUCAUCAUCAUCUUCAUGCUCGUCAUUUCUUCUUGCUUUUGUUGAUGGUCCUUCAUGCUCGGGCACACCACUAGCUUCCCAUACAUUAGCCUAUGUCAAACCACCAUCUUCGUAGACAAAUUCACCAGAUGCUCCAUCGACACCCGUUACCCAUUCACUAGAGUAAUUGAUAUCACUUAUAGCAAUGGGAUCAUAGGUCUUAUCGUCUAUUAGAUUUAUUUUCAGAAAUCGAUCUUUCAAACGUUCGUUGUAGUUAAUAUAAACCAAUCGAUCAUAGGUCCUUAAGUUUUAAUAGAAUAAUACAAUUCAUUUAAAGUUUUUAAAUUUCAAUAGGGUUAAUGGAUCGGGUUUAUCCGGAUCCGACCCGGAUCCGGCUAAACUCAAUAAUAUGCGACCCCCCAAAUAUGCGAUGGGGGGUUACCGCCUGGUCGCAUAUGCGCGCAUAUGCGACAAAUCAAAAAGCUUGCCAUUAAUAUUAUACUUAAUCAUAAACCAUUUGAAUUUGGCCUGGCACACUGCACUAUAUGUCAUUUGUAGACAGCAAUAUAAAAAAAAGUAAAAUAAAAACUGGUAUUCAAAUAUAUAAAAAUCAAUGGGGAAAUGGUAGAGUUUGUAUUGUUGGUUGAGGCCAAAUAAAACACAAACUUACCGACAUGUUCUUUCCCAAUGGUGAUGAAUUGCCAAAUUGGUGAUAUGCACUGCCUGCACUUUUCCUGAUCUAAUAACAAAUAAAUAAUACAAUAAUACCCAACUAGACUCCAAAGUCCAGACCCAACUGAAUUUUUUACAUCUACAUCUUACUCAACAUUUACAUCUUAUUUUUUGUUAGACUUAUAACGAAAGACAAGUAACACUCACUAAAGUAGUUAAAACUACUUAUCUCUCCUCUGAAUUGAAUUUAUACCAAGCAUUCUGCAAAAUAAAAAUGAGUUAACAUCAUCAACGCAUUGCUUAUUUUGAAAACUAAAAAGAAACAUGGGGUUGUUAUGAAGAAAGAAUGUACCGUGAGCAGCUCAAACACCUUCUCAGCUACAUAUUUAUCUCGGACACUUGCAUUUCUUUGCUGCAGCUUAUCGGGAUGAACACAUAGAGUCGAUUUUUUGUAAGCUGUUUUUACUGCACUGGCUGUAAUAAUUUCAGUUAAUGAGAUCGGCUUCCAUUUGCUCUCAGGACCAAGGAUCUGCCCACAAGUUACAGCAUGUUAAAUAAUUGACGUUUCGAAAGUAAUAUAGACCUUGACUGAUUAUGGAAUUGUGGGUCAUACAUCCUGAUCUAAAUGUGUGAAUUGAGAAUUUACAAAAUUAAGUUGACGAAUAUUAAUGAUGGUAAAAAACGAGUUCCAUGUAAAAUUAAAGAUAUACCCAAAUUCUAUAAUCUACAGCAAAUCACUUUUGUUUUGGCCAUGAAAAAUAACUAACUUACAUAUUGUAGGGUUGAAAGCAAAGCACGAAGAUUUCCCUCUUUUCCAUUUGACCACCUCCGGAUAUCAGCAUCCAAUGUACUUGAAAUUCUCUGUGACCAUGGUUAAAAACAUUAAAAUUUUAUUGAAAAAAAUUAAGAACAAAGAUAUCACAUAUUCAUGUCUUCGAAAUAGAUCGAUCAUGUUAAAAAUGGCUUACUUGUCGUUCAUCUACUUCUCUUUGAGACAUAACAUCACGUUUAUUCUUUUCCUCAAGAGCUCGUUUCUGACAUCGAAUAAAAAGGAUACAUGACACAUUUUAAACCAACAAAUAAAAAAUCUAGAAGUAUUUUUUAGAAAAUAUGUAUGGAUGUAAAUGUAACCAAAGCACAUACUGCCCGAUCAUGUGUCCGCUUAGUACGCUCUAAUCUAGCUUUCUGUCUCAUAGGGGUUUCACUUUCAUUUCUACCUGCAUAAUGAGAAAGUAACAAAAUUUCGUCUUAAACCAUACCAUAUCACGAUGAGUCCGUGACAUAAUUUAGAAAUUUAGUAAGAGCGUGAAAAAAACUAAUGACAAAUUGCCAACUAAUAUUGUUAUUACCAGGAUACACAUCAGAACCAUUUUGAGAAUUUUGUCUCGCUCCAGAAUAAUUUCUUUGUUGAUCUCGACCCUCUCGGUAAAUUGUAUUUCUUAUCCUUUCUUGUUCUUCACGCUCCCUAGCAUCUUGAAUAGAUUUUUCAGCAGCACGCUGUCUCACUUCUGCGGUUGCCUUCUCAACGGCAGCACGUUCUGCCCUCAUUCUAGCUUCCUUUUUAAUUUUCUCAGCACGUAUUGCUCCUGCUAUUGCCUUUUCUCGUAUAUCUAAAAAAGCUCUUUGUCGAGCUUCAAAGUUUGCCCUAUCCACAGCAGCCUUUUCUGCUGCUACCCUUCUCCGGGAGUCAAUGAUUUCUCUCUCUCUCUCUCUUUUCCUUUCAUUCUCUUCUUCUAGUUUCCUAAUCAUUUCUUCUUCUUCUAGUUUCCUAGUCCUUUCUUCUUCUAGUUUCCUAGUCCUUUCUUCUUCUAGUUUCCUAGUCCUUUCUUCUUCUUGUUUCCUAAUCCUCUCUUCUUGUUUCCUAAUCCUCUCUUUUUCUUCUUCCCCAGCUAUUUCUUCUUCUUGUUUCCUAAUCCUCUCUUUUUCUUCUUCCCUAGCUAUUUCUUCUUCUAGUUUCCUAGUCCUUUCUUCUUCUAGUUUCUUAGCUAUUUCUUCUUCUUGUUUCAUACUUCUCUCUUCUUGUUUCCUAGCCAUUUCUUCUUCUAAUUCCCUUUCAACCAUUUUAUCCCUUCUACUUUCUUCACUAGUGAAUGCUGCAACACUGCUUUUAUCUUUUUCGGAUUCAACAUUACGAUCAACUAAAGUAUUUCGACAUGAAUCGUCUAGCUCCUUCUCAGUCACAGCACUCUGUAAAACCACUUGCGCUGCACCCUUCAUACUGAUGUUUUCUUGUCUAUUGGAGGCCACCUCAUAUACCAUGUUAUCGUCACAAUGCCUGGUGUCAAUGUUCGCCUUAAUGUUAUGUUCAUCAUCUAAUUUGGAUGGUACAUGUUCUUCACCAUCUCCCUGUUGAGCUUCUUUUAUUAUUUUAUCGCAAAAGUACUUCCAACGACUCUUUUCUAUUAUUGCUUCAUUCUCAUCUACAGUGUGCAUAUUUUCCUCAUUUUGUUUAGAACUGCAGUCUUCGAUUUUACCACUUCCCAUAGGUUUAAAUUCACUUUUAUCAUGACCACUUUGCAUUAAAUGAUCUUCUGCAUGAUGAUUCUUUAUUUUAAUGCCAGACUCGUCUUCUUCACAUGCAUAGGUUAACUCUAAAUGGUUGGCAUGUUCACGGAUAUAUGAUUCAUGUUGUGGUUCUAUUCCUUGCUCAUUUUGAUGAGGGUGCAAUAGACUUCUGCUUGCAUUCAACUUGUUAUCAUUAUAAUCUGAUGAUAUAGAUUCAUUGCUAGUUGUAUCAACCACUUUCACGAACUCUUUAUGUGCAUCAAUCUCUUCAAAACAUGUUGAUUUUCUUACUUCCAUCUUGCUUUCAGAAAAGACAUUAGUGCCACUAGUCUCACUAAUUUCAUUUAACCUCGUAUAAAAUUUAUCAGAUUCUUUCUUGUCGUCUUCAUGUAGCUGCCUUUUAUCAUCAUGUAGUUGUGUUUGAUCGUCUAGAAGUACCUCAGAUAAUAUAGCAUCUUCUUUCUCAUCAUUCUCUUGUGAAUAUUCAUCUGGAAUUGUCUCAAGAAUCUCUUUGGUUUCUUCCACUGCACAAACAUUACUGCCUUCAUUCAAUUUGGCAUCCCUAUGGUUCACUUCAUAAUUACCAGUGCCAGCAAAUACAAAAUCAUUUGUUUUCAGUUCAGGUGCGAGUUUAAUCAUUUUCUUAUCAGAUUUAUCAGCCUUUGGUUUUGGGUAAGCCUUUGAAUUCUUAUCAUUUGAAUCAUCCUCAAAAAUCUGAUGAACUCCUGUGGACUUGUUAUCAUUGUUUACCAGUUCAAAAAACUGAUCCUUUACUUUCCAUUUCCCUUCUCUCUCAUCCUGGAUAUAAGAAACUUGGGUCGGGUCAAUUUCCUUUGUAUUCUUUCUUCUUAAUGACUCCUCGGCUAAGUCAAAGUAUCUUUCAUUUGCUUCAAGAUCUGGAACAACAUUCCCAACACUUAUGAUCUUCGGCCUUCUAUCAUUUUCACUGGUUUCUUGGGAAAUCAUCUGAUUAUUAAUUUCCAUUACAGGAACAGUUUCAUUCAGUUUUCGUUCUUUGACUUUUGUGAUCGUUUUCUUCCAAUUUUGUAGACUCUCUUUUUUCCUCUCCAUUGAUACUUUUGCACUUUUUAAUCUGGCCUGAGCUUGUUCCAUUGCUUCUCUCAUUGCAGCAAGAGAAGCUGCAGCUUCUGAACCAACAUCAGUAUCCAUAUUAAAAAAAGGUGCGGCCCUACUUGAACCAGUGGCACUUAAAAUACUUUUAGUUUCUUUGUUUGAAGAAGCCUUGUAAACAUUUUUAUCCAAACAAUAUGCAUCUGCUUUUACUGUUGGUUUAAAGCUUUCAGCCUUUAUCCCACCUUCACUGUUACAUACUCUCGGCGGAGGCCUUGCAGGUGGGGGAACUGCGGAAGGUUGUGUUCGAAGAUUGAUAUCAGAAACAGUUAUAAACCUAGUAUUGGUAUAAGCUUUAUCACUAACAGAAGAAGAUUUCGAUGAAUUGCUAAAUGACUUGACAUAAAGUUGGUCAUGUUUGUGGUCGUUUUUAAUCAUAGAGAUUGGAGGGUUUGCUGAUGUGGUUUUCUUGGAUGUAACCGAUGUAUCAAACUCGGACAUCUUCUGUUGCUGAUGUGAAAUACCUUUUGGACUCUUUGCGCUACUCGGUGAAGAAGUGAGUGAUGAUGCAGAGUGGACAGAACAUGUAUCUUCUAAUUUCACAGCACCAGGACAGUCAAAUUCUGACUCAUCAGAAGAAGAGCAAGAAUGGUACUGCUCGUUGGCAGAAGUAUCUUCAACAUUCGGGUUGUCUCCACUGCGAUCAAAACCCUUCUUUGCAGCAACUGUACUUAGGAUUAAAAAUAAAAUUAUAGCAAUGGUAAUAAAAUAAUAAUAAACCAACCAAGUGACGUGAAACUACGUAUUUACAACAUGUAUACAAUAUGUAUUUACAAUUUUACAUCAUGUAAACAAUAUGUAUUUACAUCAUGUAAACAAUAUGUAUUUACAUCAUGUAAACAAUAUGUAUUUACAUCAUGUAAACAAUAUGUAUUUACAACAUGUAUACAAUAUGUAUUUACAACAUGUAUACAAUAUGUAUUUACAAUACGUAUACAAUAUGUAUUUACCUCCAUUGGCUUGACUUGAUUUUAUUCCAGAUCCCCCAUUCAAGUUGCUUGCUUGAGAAGAUUGAAAAACAUCAUGUUUUGUUUCCUUGUCAAGCCUGCACAUUCAAAAAGAUCCAAUGUUGAAUCAAGCGUCUCACUUUUAUUGAAUUCUUGUGGAAUAAACAUAAAAUAAUGAAAAAUAGGAGCGUAAAAAACUAAAGGAAGGCAACAAACAAAGCAUUUAUAAAUCAUUAAAUCAGAUCCAAUUCGCAGUGAUUUUUAGAUCUCCGUUUAUCGGGAAAUAAAUAGCCAUAAUAACAGGAAUUUCAUAUCUGACAUGCAUUGAUGAUAAUGAUACUUAAGACAACACGAACGUAGAUGGAAAAAAAUUAAAAAGUAACAGAAGAAGAAAAGUACGAACCCUCCAUUGAGAGAAGAAGCGGAAGUGCCGUGGUUGAGAAUCUCUUCGUAGGGAACACCAAAUCUAGAAUCAGCGAAACCACCAAAGAUAUCAACGAGGUCGAUCGGGACCGAACUUCGAAAGCAGGAAGUGCCAGAGCCAGCAUCGGCACAAGGUACUGGAGGCAGAUCAAGCACGGGAAUGGAGUACGAAUAUCCCCCGAAGAUCUCACCGUAAUCCGAUGUUUUAAUGGGACUAAAGCUCUUCGGAUCGGUUGACGUUUGCUGUUGCUGGUCCUUCUGGCCAGAGUUCUGAUGAGUCUGGGGACGAUGAGACCGUCGCCUUCGUUGCUGGUGUAGCUCCUUCUGGUUGAAGUAGGCAGGACUUUGCAUCGCCGGAGAAAAAUGUGCGGACGGUUCUCAGUUGCGGCGGUUUUGAUUUGGCAAGAUUAGGGUUUCACAGGGUCUUGUUCUGUUUGUUUUUUUGUUUCUGAAUUCUGAAAUGGUGGAAGAAAAAUGAAGAAAUGGUAGAAGAAAAGGAAAUAAUUAGUGGUGGAGAUGUAUGUGAUUGGAUGGCAGAAUUUGUCUUUUUAAUACAGGUAGAAGUAUGGCCCACAAUGUAACAGUCAACCUGAAAAAACCCGAUUGAUAUCUUUUUCUUUUACCAGAAUUUAUAUUUGAAUACUUAAAUUUAAAUUGUAAUAACCUUAAAUUCUCUAGGGUUUUAUUAUAAAAUUUUAACCAAAAAUUAGUAAAACCAAAAUAUCAUAAACCUCCUCAAACAACGUAUUUUAUUAUUGUAUAACUAGAAUACAUAACUAAUAAAAAGAAGUCAAUGAAUUUCUUGUUUAUUUUUUUUGUUUCUAUUUUUAUUUUUAUUCUCUAUGUAACAUGAACAUUACCUUUAUUUUUUGAAUAAAAUUUAAUUGCUUUCAAAAAAAUAUAUAUAUCAUAAGGAUACUAAUUGACUAUAAAGUUGACAACAGGGUAGGAUGUGAAAAUGGCACGCUUGUCCCCCCAAAAAUAUGAACGGAAGCAUAGAGGCUAGGCAAAAUUAAAUGUUAAUUAUAAUCGUUCAUAGGGAUGUAAUCCGACCGGGUCUAGGGUGGGUCAAACUGGACCUAAACCCUUUAAGAUUACAGGGACUGAUGCGGGGUCAGGAAAAAAAUAAUGGCCCCAGAACCAAGAACUAUAGGAGUUGUUUUUUUUAAUAAAAUCAUGAUAAAUAUAUACCUAAAAAAAUGGUACACCAUGAUUACAGAGCACAAGGAUACCAGCUUACUAAGAACUGCAGGGGUUGUAGGUUACAAUUAAGGACACCAGCUUACUAAGCAUCAAAUGUAAGGAGGGGGAUCGGGUGGAGUGGUGUGGAAAGUGGCGAGUGCGGUUAACGUUCACAACACAUUAAAAAUACCGGCUGACCCUGACCCACUAGAAGCAGGGAUCUAGAGUUGUAAGUCUUCCAAGAUGAGCACCUUACUGUAGAGGUUGUGUAAGAAUAUGAUAUACGCCUCAAUCACAGUUUAUACUCAAUAAUAAAAUCGAGUGGACCUGAUGAUAGAGGGUGCUUUAGAUCUGGAAUUUUUCAAUCCAGAUAUCCAAAGCAACUAGCAGCGGGAUCAAUCCCUGAUAUUGCAUCUUAGCACUUUCUGGAAAUUCGAUGUUACUCGUUCUAGUAGAGCGCUCGAUCCGGUAGUUCGAACAGAGGCAGAUCGCAGAUUGGAGAUGUUCUGAUAAUGUGGGAUGAGAUGACGGCGGAUUGCAGGAAUCUUAGUGGGAUGUAGGGCAUGGAAUUUUAUGAAGAUUUGGGUAAAAUCAUUGAUUAAAUGAAAAUGUAAUUCUUACAACAACUUAAAUGAAAUAGUUUCUGAAAUUUAAAUAAAGAGUAGGGACUACUUAAAUAAUUUCCCAUUUAAAUUUGGCUACACCAAUUAACCCGAGCCCACUUCAUAGUCUCUCAUCCAAGCUGGUCUUUGGCUAACCCGGCUUGGUUUGGGGACGUUAACAUCCGGCCCAACCGAAUCAAACGCUCCUGGAUCGUCGCCGCCGCAACCCUGUCCAGAGUCGCCUGAGCCCUUGUCUUCUCCGGUAACGUCGCUCGCCCCUUCUUCAGAGUCGCUUGAAUCUUCCUCUCCAACGAUGGCAGCAACAUCUUCCUUUACUGUCUCAUAACCUAGAUGUAUCACAUCAGAAUCGUCUUCAUACUUUCAACAAGUCGAGGAAUUAGGGAAUGCAGUGGUCGGAAAUGUGUAUCCUAUGUGGCGAUGUGGAGGGAGACUCCAGAACACCUCUAUCCAAAUUGUUUGGAUAAAGAAACUCUGACUAUCUUUUAAAGAACUUACAAGACAAGCGAUGUGGAGAAUGCGAAAUUGGAGGACAACAACCCUGUGUUAAAAUCCCGUGCUGGAGGUCGCGGAAUGAUGACGAUCGACGGGAAUGACUCCGGCAGGAAACUUGCAGGAGAUUGACGUGAUUAAGGUUAGGGAUUUUCGCCCAAGAAGAUUGGGGAAAAACCUAACAGUAACGGAUAGAAUGAAGAAGAAAGAAAGAGGGAGAAAGAGGGAAAAUCAAUUUUGCGCUAAUUACCAAAAUGUAAUUAACUUGAUGUUAAUUGAUUAUUAAUUUAUUCAUAAUACAUUGUCUUAUAUACACAAAUUAACAGUUAAUAAUUUUAACUAAUUCUAAAACUUCUGGACUCGUGGGCUGGACUUCUAUUUGAUCCGAGUCCUGGUCCAAUUUGUUAAUUGUGUAAUUUAAAUGAAUCUGCAAAAAUACCCAAGAGUUAUUAGUAAUUACACAUAGGUAUUUUAUUUUGAUUUGUGAUUUAUAUAAAAGUCCUUGGAUUAAUAUAAAACUAAAAUAUUAAAACAAUUGGAACUUUUAUACUUAAGACCUCUGUAAAAACAUUACAGAAGUAUUUUAGAACCUUUUAUUAUUUGUAUUACACUUUAGGUCCAAUUAACGAAUUAAUUGGAACUUUUGUAUUUUAAGUCCCUGUUGGUUAAUACAAAACAGUUUAUUCUGUUUUGUAGAAACCUUAGGACUUUUUAUAUUAGACUUAGGUCCUAACUUAGUUUCUUAGGGUAAACUUCUAUUUUACCCUAGAUUUCAGCUGUAUUUCUUAUAAUGUCUUCGCCUUUGAGUCUAGUUUUUCUAAUACCUUCAGUAUUAGUUGCUCUAACACGAUCUACCAACUUCCUAUUCAUGACAUGUCCAGUAGUGGUUAGAUGGGGCAGGCCGACCAAUACCAUGUCCAAUUAAAUGUAAGGCCACUGACUCUAGGUCUAAAGAAUUGUCAGGAGGGAUUGACCAAAUCUCUCCUGAAUCAAAAGUGAGCUCUGCUUGAGUUGGAGGAGGCGUGGCUAAAGCUACAGUGUCAGCUGGAAAUAUUUGCAAGAAUUGAAGAACUAUGUUGGCCUUACACUUCACCGAUGUCUGAGAAUAAAAUAUCGAUUAGAUGAGUAUUAUAUUAUUGAUGAUAAAUAAAUAAACAUAUGUACACUUAGGGACUUACGAUGCAAACGUUUUAACGUGCCCAUGCAUCGAAAGCCUUUGUAAAUAUCCUUUUGCGGGUGUUAAAUGGAAUGGUAGUGCGAGCCGGAUCUAGGUAGAACUUCAGUCCACCAACCUGUCUGGACGACCAUCGGGCAGGAGGAAUAUCUGGAGUGAAAACGUUAAUACCCGGAGCCGGAUGAGGAAGUAUAUCAGCACGGGCAGCAGAGAUUUGUCCGGAUGAUGUUGUUAUGGAUGCGAGGAGGAAGAAACCAAGGAAGACAAGAUAUGACAUGGUGAAUUAAUGGCAAGAAUUUAGUUUCCACUUUGGGAAAUUUAUUUAUACAACUUUUCUACGAUGUGAAUUUAAUGAGAUGAGCAUAUAAUGUUUGACCGUAUUAAAGAGACAAUUUUAAUAUAUCGAUCUAAGUAUUUUUCAAUCUAUUUUUUUCCAAAAAAAUAAAAUUAUAUCAAAAUAUAAUAAUAAUAUAUAUUUAGUUGAGUGACACUUUUCAUCAUUUAAAGACUAGUUGUACAUUUUUUGUCAUAAUUUUUUUAAAUGCCAUUAAAUAUGUGUAAUCCAAAGUGAAUCGUAUAAAUUGUGAUUUUUAUAUAAUUAAAUUGAGAGUUUGAGAUUUUGAUAUAAACUUUUUUAUAUAUAAUUAAAUAGAUUUUCAUGUAAACUGACUUUUCAUGUCGAAAAAAAAAAUUUAAUGUUGAAAAAUUAAAUUACCCUACCUAGCUAAUAGUUCUUUUAAUCAUUUGCAAUUAAUUUGGGAUCGACGUGUCCAAAUUAACAAACAAUAUAUUUAGCACACAUUUGUAAGUUGAAUUUUAUCAUUAUUUUAAUUAAGAAAAAAUAAAAAUGUUUUAUUUUUCUUUUCUAACUUUUAACGUCAAGAAAUUUUUUAUAGUUAAUGUUGACAAAAACCCCUGAUUAGUUGUUUUCAUUUAUUAUGAAUUUAUGAUGAGACAUAUUCUAAAUUAUUUUAUUUUAUCACAACAAAAUAAGUCGACAAACUUCAACUCCAUCUAAAGUGGGAUGAUACCUCAAUUCUCACCCUUAAAUCUAACCCCACAUUUAAUUACUAAUUGUUCAUUUUAGGUCCAGACCAACAUCAUGGGUCUGGGUCUGGGUCUGGGUCUGGGUCCGGGUUCAAGCCAGCCAGCCUAGACCCGACUUUUACAUCACUACGGAGAGCAAGCGCAAUGUCAAAAAAUUAAAACAUAAGGCAGCCAAAUUCUAUGAUGUCGGAGGGAUUAAUUCUUUACAAAAAGUUUUUCGAUAGUAUGCUCUUACAUUGCAUAACCAAACCGAACACAAAACAAGUGAUCCAUGAGGUUCAUGAAGGCUCGUGUGGACUCCACGAGAGCGGAAUAUCGUCCGCUUUCAAAAUUAUUAGGCUAGGCUACACUGGCCAACCCUGAGAAUGGAAACGCAUACUUUCGUCUGUAAAUGCCGGCCGAGCAUGUCAGUUGCAUAGUCUGAUGCAACAAAAAAAAUCAUCCACAAGCAUGGCCCCGAUCCUGAGCUCAAUACCAUUCGCCCGGUGGGAACUGAACAUUGUAGAUCCAUUUGCACUUUCUACGUCUCAGGCUCGGUUGCCGUAAAUUACUCUACUAAAUGGAUCGAAGUCUAAGCAGUGGCCAUGAUUACUCAGGAUACGACAGUAAAUUUUAUAUAUCGUUCUAUCGUAUCUUGAUUUGGAAUUCUCCAACAUAUCAUUACUGAUAAUGAUACGCAAUUCACAGGAAGUAAGUUUUCGAGAGAAGAUCUGAGACUAAACUACGUACACUUGCAUCCGUUUACCGACCAUAGGGAAACAGAUAUAUAAGUGGAGGUUACCAAUAAGGCGAUCGUACAAUCUCUCAAAAAGAUAGUCGAGUCGACCAAGGGGGCUUGGGCAGAUAAGUUGUGCAAAAUCCUAUCGACAUAUCACACGAUGAGUAAAAACCCUACGGGAAGAUGCCUGAUGAAGCACUAAAUCUGCUACCAGGGCUCGCGGUGGUGUGAGGUUGAUGCCGGAGGCUUUGGAGUCCACGACGCACGCUCUACGUCAAAAUACCUGCAAGUGAAACUAGGCGAUUCUAGUGAGAAUCAGCGAGUUUCGUAGUGUAGUGCUCUGGUGUGAGAGUGGAACUUGAAUCGUGCCUUUGAGUGUCCCCUUGGGACCCUUUUUAUAGGGUCUCGGAGGGCGCACUCAUCGGCGGAGAUCGCGCCUAUGGUCAUAUAUGGUAACAUUUAUGACGUUGGUUGCCGCCGAGUAACGGUCGUAAGUCGCCGAUUCAGGUAUGGAAGUCGCCUAGUUAAGGGCUAACUCGGCGAGUUUCUAGGGCCAAGACGUACAGUCUACCAUACUGCCGAUCUUGCCUUAACUCGGCGAGUUAUCCUGUAUGUCGGCGACUUGGUAGUCCAAUCGGGCGACUUACGGGCUAACUCGGCGAUCUGGACGAAGAACGAUGUUCCGCACCGUGGGAGCUCUCCGGGGGUCCUGCCAUAGCGACGGAGCCCUAGUCCUUGUUGAGAGGCGUUGAUGGGUAGUGACUGGUGUAAUCAGGCAUGUCUCACCAAAGCCUCUUCGUCAUGACAUACGGAAUAGAAACCGUCGUACCUAGGGCUGUAAAUGGGUCUAGGUCCGAUCCGGACCCGGACGUCCGGGCCCGGGAUUGAUUUUGGACCCAUUAAAGGGUUUGGACCCGAAGGCCCGGGUCUGGGUCUGGGUCCAGAUUAGCUAGACCCGGACCCGGAUAUUAUAAAUGUUAGAUAAAUAUUUUAUAAUAUAUUAGUAAGUUAGGGUUUAAAUAUAAAAAAAUUUAAUAUAUAUUUUAUUAAUAUAUUAGUAACUUAAGGGUUAAAUGUAAAUACCUAACAUGCUAUUAUUGACCUAACAUACUAAUUAUCGACCUAUGCUAUUUUUAAUUUAUGUUUAUUGAUUUUACUAAAAUUUAUUGACUAUUUUUGUAUAUUUAAUUAUUUUUUGAUUUUUUUAGAUAAAUAAAAAAAUCACUUUUUGGACCCGGACCCGACUUAGACCUGGAUUUUUAUGGGUAUGGACUGGGUCCGGGUCCAGACAUUUUCCUUCUGGAUCCAGACCUGGCUAGACCCAGCCCAACUUCAUGGGUCCGGGUCCAAGCCAGCCAGCCCAGACCCGACCCAUUUAAUUUACAGCCCUACUCGUACCAAUCGAAAUAAGUAUAUCCACACAUAGAAUUUUGAGCUACGACGUGCAAUUAAAUGACCAAAAUCUAUUGACGGAUUAUAAAGAGAGGAGACACGCGAUGAGGCAAAUCUACAUAACGAAGCUUAUAAAGCUAACGUAGCACGAUAUCACAAUCGUCAAGUUCGAGCAAAAAUCUUUUUACCAGGAACACUGUUACGUGUAAGGUAGCCAAAAACACGUUAUCGUCUAACUUCGAAGGCCCGUACAUCAUGAAGGAAGAGAUACGGUCAGGAACCUAUCACUUAAGGCGGUAAGGCAUGACACUAGUCUCAAACACUUUUCACGCCAAUGACACUAGUAUGACAUUAGUCCCUAACCCUAACCCAAUAGCAUGUCCACAUGAUCAAUGCACCGUUGCCGUCCUCUCCUCGACCUUGGUACCAUCGUCCCAUCAAAGGACGUCGACCAUAUCAUUUUCGAUGACCAUCUGACCUCUAUCACUCUUCCGACCUCUAGCUCCCACCGGUGAAUUCUAUAAAUUCAACCAAACUCCAAAUAACUACAACAAACUACUGCAUGCAGCUCAUACCUGUAUUUCAAAAAUUGACGAAAAUUGCCACAACUCCAUCUCCUCCCCAAUGUCACGCAAUCUACUACGUCGAUUACCAUUCGUAGGAGGCUCACAAAAAGGCGACGACCUGAAUUCGUAAGAUGACAAAUCCGAUGUCAUUGACCUCCGCCCGUCGCCUGACUCAACCCUUGAAUUCAGGUCGUCGCCUUUUCCUCUGAUCGGACACCCGUCUCAACUCAAUCGCAUCAUACGCAGCCAACAUCUGGCAUUGUAUUGGGAAAGCAAAUCUGUUCAAUAAAUAACCAACUACAGUUGGUAGUUACUGUAAUAGAUAGUUAUAAAUAUAACCAUUGUAAAUCCAAAUAAUACACUUGAUUUCAAUUCAAUCAUUCCAGUAACACUCACUUGUGAACCCACUUUCGUUCUGUAUUUCCAUCAUGGUACCAAAACCUCAAGAAGACGGGUACUCACCGUCUCAUUUAGAUCCAACUUCCGCUGCGGGAAAUACAUCCAAGAUGAACGGGAAAGGUUCAACAAAGCUUGUCACCAAACAUAUCAAGUGCAUCAUGCUCGAAGAAGAAAAUUUCUUCUGUUGGAGAGCAUAGUUCUCGGCGUUGUUGAGAGGCUACCAUCUCCUUGAAUACGUUGAAGGGAAGAUGGAGAUAUCUCCGGACAGCAUCGCCGAACAGCAAGACCAGCUCAUACUGAGCUGGAUCUUGACUUCAGUAUUACCGUCAAUUCUCCCACAAGUCAUUGCUAUGACGACGUCUACGGAGGUGUGCAAAUGCCUCAAUGAAAUGUUCUCAUCGGAUUCUGAAACUUGCCUCUUACAUCUCCGUUUUCAACUACAAAGUAUAAAGAAAGGGGAUCUCAACAUGCUCGAUUUCUUGAAGAAUAUAACCAUCGCAAAAGAUAAGCUAGCUGCAAUAGGGGAAGGAUUAAAAGAUUCCCAGGUCAUACUGAUUGCAUUGGGCGGACUUGGGCCCGAUUAUCAACCCUCUGUGACAUCUAUCACAACGAGGUUUUAUAAAACAAUGACGUUUUCACAGUUCAAAAGACUCUUGCUCGAUCACGAUCUACAAUACAUGUCCUCGAUAAUGGUUUCCUGGACUGAAGCCAACGUUGCCAUAAAACAUAGGUCCGAUGAUCGUCGAGACAAGGCAUGGUGUGCUAAAUUUGCACAAGAAAGGGCCAUGGAGCUAAGGACUACUAUCAUAGAGUGAAUUUUGCAAAUAUCCGACGGUAUCACAUUCUCGUCGGUUAAUAUCAACUGGACUUAAUGAUCAAUCUAAUCAUUCGGGACCGGUUGCAAACGUCGCAGUAACAGGACGGGCGUCAACAGUAUGGUAUCUUGAUACUGGGGCAACUGCCCAUAUAACUCAUUCAGGUAUAUUACCCAAUAAUUUUGUUGAAUAUACGGGUAGAGAUUCUGUUUUCACAGCUAACGGAGGUACGAUGAAAAUCGAGAAAGUCGGAAAACUCGUAGCCUCGGAUCUAAUUCUAAAUGAAAUUUUACUAGUUCCUGAUUCUUCAAGAAAUUUACUAUCUAUAUCUCGUUUAUGUACUGACAACAAGAUAUAUGUCAAAUUUGACGAACAGAAAGUAAUAAUAGCAGAUAAGGAGACCGAUGAAGUUCUAGCUGAAGGGAAAAUGGUGAAUGGACUAUAUUGGUUGUCUCUAGAUGUGAAUAAAGGACAUCAUGCUUUGUCGGCUCAGAAAAUUACGGGAAAGCGUUGGCACGUAAGGUCGGGACACUUGAAUGAAAAAUCAAUUCGAUAGUUGGUUAACAAAGAUGUAUUACCUAAUGAUACAAUCUGUAAAAAUAUAUCUGUCAUUCAUGUGUUAUACAAAAAUCUCACAAUUUGUCGUGUAAAGAAAGUGAUCGAAGUUACUCACCGUUAGAAUUAAUAUUUUCGGAUAUCUGGGGACCGGCUCCAGUAGAGUCAAUCGGCAGAUAUAAAUAUUACGUGAAUUUUGUCGACGCAACUACAAAUUUUUAUUGGGUAUAUCCUUUGAUCAACGAAAAUAUUUGAUCAGUUCGGAAUUGAUCAUAGAUUCUCUUGUCCGUACGAUCAUCCUCAGAUGGGUACAGUAGAAAGACGACACCGGCAUCUAGUCGACACAGCGUUAACAAUGUUGCACUUUGCAAAUAUACCCAAGGAAUUUUGGGACUAUGGGAUACUCGAUCACCGCAGCCACCCUAUAUAAUAAGAAUCCAACAAGAAUUCUUAAUGGAAUCUCUUCGAUGGAAGCGUUGUAUGGUCGCACACCAGAUUAUGAUAAAUUGUGCAUAUUUGACUGCAAAUGCUACCCAUGUCUACGUCAUCACCGGAGAAAUAAAUUAGAUGAUAAAUCAAUAGCAUGUGUGUUUAUCGGUUACCCGCAACAAAGUGAUAGAUUCUUGUGUUACAACCCAAAUGAAAAGAAAAUAUAUGUCUCCAAGAACGUUAAAUUUCUAGAAGAAGACUUUACACUGAAUCAAUGCUUAUGGCCAAACUCCGGCGAGAAAUCUCAGCUCAGAGAUAGCAACACAGUUGAUUCAGACGAUCUUGUGAUUAUGAAUGAAACGGAACCAACGUCUGAGUUGUCAAGCUAUUUAAAUCCAGCUAUAACAAACCAGGCCAGCUCAACACCCGUCAUGACGGAAAGAAUAUGUGCAAACCCGAUUGAGCAAAAUUCGGAUCCAAGAUCCAACACCCAAAUCGAGUAAAGUCCGAUUGAACAAAGUUCGAGAAAUACUGAACAAAGCGUGACACCGAACCGAUUUGCGCAAUCUGAAAGCGCAACAUCCGUCAACGAGAUCACCGAAUCAGUCAACGAACGGGAACCGGAGGCAAUCGGAAGAACAAUCGACGAUGGCCGGAACGAAGAAACCGGGAAAAGAAUGGCAACAAGAGCUUCGCAUGCAUGGGAUAACGAAGCCCAACCCGAAAUACAGUUUGUUAACAACAACGUAACAAACAGGAAUACCCAAGUCGGCAAAAUCAGCGUUAUAACAUCCGGAGUGGAAAGCCGCAAUGAAGAGUGAGUACGACGCUCUAAUUAAAAAUGAAACGUGGAGACUAUUUCCCAAAACAGAGCAUGAUAGGGUGAUAUACACUAAAUGGGUCUUCAAAGUAAAACAUGCAGAAGAUGGGACAAUCCAACGUUUUAAGGCAAGGUGGGUUGAAAACGGUAUGAGGCAGAUUGAGGGUUGCGACUAUAAUCAAACAUUUAGCCCGAUGGUGAAAGCAAACUCAGUCAAAAUUGUGCUCACAGUCGCAAUAACAAGGAAUUGGGUGUUGAAACAAAUUGAUGUCUCAAACGCCUUUCUAUACGGAAAGUUGGAUGAAAGAAUAUUAGUAACACAACCGGUUGGAUUCGAAGAUAAGGAACGGCCAGAUUAUGUGUGUUUGCUGCAGAGAUCAUUGUACGGCUUAAAACAAUCUCCGAGGAUGUGGUAUCGUAGACUACGGGAGUUUCUGGUUCAAAUAAAGUUAUUCCGAUCCAUCAUUAUUCAUCUACGACAACGAAGGUGAACAAAUUUAUCUAUUCACAUACGUAGACGAUAUAGUCAUUACGGGUCAUCGUCAACGUUUUUGAAAACAGUGAUUGGGAAAUUGGGUUCGGAGUUUGCGAUAAAAGAAUUGGGUGAUCUAAGAUACUUCUUAGGUAUUCACGUUCACAUAAUGGAAGGAAAGAUAAUGCUAUUUCAACAACAAUAUCUUCGGAAUCUGCUAACAAGUUGUGGGCAUACGAAGUUGAAACCAUCCACCACACCGAUGUUAUCAAACGAAAAAUUUCAAAUAAACAACGAUCACUCAUCGGAUUUGAGUGAGUACCGACGAAUCAUCGGAUUCCUACAAUAUCUCACUUUGACACGACCCUAUGUGCAAUAUGCCGUGAACAAACUAUCACAAUUCUUGAACACGCCGACCUCCGAUCAUUGGACAACUCUCAAGAAGCUACUUCAAUAUCUAUCGGGAACUCAAAACUUUGGGAUCACAUUAACUAAGGUGAAAGAUUUCGAUAUAACAUGUUAUUGUAACACGGAUUGGAGAGGCGACCUCAUCGAUAGGAAGAGUCACACAGAUACUUAAUAUACAUCGACAGAACGUUAGUUUCAUGGUCUUCGAAGAAACAAGCAGCUCUCACAAGAUCCAGCACAGAGGCCGAAUAUAGAGCCAUAGCCCAUAGCUACAACCGUUGAGGAAGCAGAAGGAGUUCGACUAUUAUUGGCAGAAUUGGGAGUGAAAAUUGGCUUGCCAACGAAGGUAAAAACCGACAACCAAGGAGUUGUGUUUAUCGCAAACAAUCCUAUUUGUCAUAGCAAAAUGAAGCAUGUGGCAAUGAAUUUUCAUUUCAUCCGAGAAAAAUCCGAACAAGGGGUGUUGAAAGUAAGUCAUAUAUCAGGUAAAGAACAACUAGCCGACAUAUUAACAAAGCCAUUAUCGCCAAAGCUGUUCAACGAAGCAAGUGACAAACUAAUCGGACACUGCCCUAUAGUUUGAGGGGGAGUAUUGGGAAAGCAAAUCUGUUCAACAAAUAACCAACUACAGUUGGCAGUUACUGUAAUAGAUAGUUAUAAAUAUAACCAUUGUAAAUCCAAACAAUACACUUGAUUUCAAUUCAAUCAUUCCAAUAACACUCACUUGUGAACCUACCUCGGUUCUGUAUUUCCAUCAAAUUGUACUUGAUCAUCCACUGAGGUGAAUCAUCUGGGGGACAGAACACCAACAAGCACCUAUCAUGCAUUACUACCCAAUUUUCAACAAUAGCCAAAUGUUUGAACACCGCUGUGACCUUGUUCCCUUCCACCUAUACGACAGUCCACUAACCAUCAAUCACAACUCCUCCAACCAGUCACCUCCACUUCAACUAUCCCAAUGACCCAAUUCCACAUGUCAACAAAAUUGUCAACUCAUGCCCCACCUGUUAAAAUGUGAGUGCGUCCUUCUGUCCUGAGAUUGAGGAAGAAUCGCACAGAAUCCGAGAAAUUAACAAAGGGGAAAGAAGUUAGGGUUACUCGAGUAACCUAACUUCUCUAGGUAGUAAGUAGUUACAACUGUAGAAAAACUAAUUAGCAGAAAUCUUGUAUUAAGAAAAUGUAAUCAAUUGAUUUGAAACGUUAUUACACAUGAGUAUUUAUUAAGUUGAUACAAGAUUUACUUUUACUAAUCUAAAUGACUAACUAUUAGCAACUAAUUCUUGCUGGACUAAUUCAACAAUAAAAGCCCAGUUAUCUUCUUUUAUUUCUUUGGCCCAUCCGAAUUAUUAAAUGGUGAAGUUGUAGCUUUGUCCUUGUAUAUUUCAUUACUCCAAUUUUCCUAACAAGCCUACAUACUCACAUUUCAUUUAAUUGCACAUUAGUCUAACCUGUAUAUUAUAUAUAAAACUUUGUUAAUUACUUCGUUACUCCCUCAAGCUCUGGAAUAAAUAUUUAUGAUUCCAAGCUUGACAAGGUUGAAGUAAUUUCAUUUUCACCCAUGGGUUUAGUGAACAUUUCUGUCAAUUGGUACCUUGUUCCAAUUUGCUUUAGACCAAAUACUCCAUGGGUGUUUAGUUUUCUAAUAAAUGGCAAUCUAUCGCUAUAUGAUUUGUUCUUUCAUGAAAAGUAGGGUCAUUAGUUAGAUUGAUUGCUGAUUUAUUAUCACAGUAUAUUAAUGUUGUUUGAUUAUUAGUUUUAAUUUUCAUUUCUUUGAUUAAUUGAUGAAUCCAUAUUACCUCACAGGUUGUUUGAACUAUUGCUCUGUAUUCUGCCUCACAUGAGGAUCUUGAUAUUAUUUCUUGCUUCUUGGACUUCCAGGAUACUACUGAAUUUUCAAUCAAGAUACAGAAGCCAGAUACUGACUUUCUGUUGAUUUGGCAACCAACCCAAUCAAAGUUACAGAAGACAUGAAUGCUCAUAUUCUCACUGCUUUUAUAUAGAAUGCUCAUUUCUAUCGUCAUCUCUAGUAACCGGUCCACUAUCUCAGAAAUCGCUCGAUCCUAUCUACGGUUAUAUCCGAUAUUCGCGCAAUUUGCUCGUCCAUCACUGUUAUGACUGUCUUCUCCAAGUCAUCGGCUGCUCCACUUACCGACGUCAUAUAAAAUUGCUUUAAGUUCAGCAAUAAUCAAGAUGAAAAUUAAAACUAGAACGGCACAUCCCUGAGUGGGAUCUGUCAAUAGUUGAGUCAUAGAUCACGACUUUGAAGAGUUUUUUUUGGAGGAGUCAUUCCGAUAGUUCACCCGAGCUGUCGAUGGAAAGAAAUUGAAAGCACCAAUGUAACGUCGUCGUCAAAGCGAUGUUGCGGGACGUCGAGAAAAGAUGAGAUUUGCAAGAUAGAUCGAGGAAUUCAGAGACGAGAGGCGAGAGAGAGUAGAAUUAAUUGUGGUAUAAAAAUGUUCUAUACCAUCCUAUGAGGAUGCUCAACUCUUUUUUUUUGAGUUAAAACUAUCUGUUAAUAUAUAAAUUUCAAAUAAAAAAAGAGGUGUGAUUACAUGCGAUCCACCCCAAACACUCCGCCUUGAUCCAGCUAAGUGAUCUUACGAUCGUUUAGGUCUUCAACAACCUUUAAGAACUGACUCACUGUUUCCUAAAACGAACUAUGUCUCAUCGUAGUGCGCCUUGGACAAUGGGAGAUGAAAAAACCCUGGUGUGCUCUUGGCAACUUUUCCUUUUCCUAGGGAAAACCCUGUCAUCACCUUUCGGUCAACUACAUGCAAGUGAUUACUCAUAUCGUUUCUACUUUCAAAGGAAGUCUAUCUCCUAAGAGAUAGAUCCUUCUAUGUAUAUGACUUUUUAGGUCAUUUCAUUAUCCCACUUUUACCUUCUAUGCUUUUGGUGAGUCAUAAUUCUAUUUUUAGUUGAAUUUCAGUCCACCAUUAGCCUAGAUAUUACAAUUCUUUAAUACAAGUUCCUACCGAAUUUGAGUUUCAAGAUAAUCGUAUUAAUAAUAAAAAUAGAUCAACUUGGUGUCGGUUGGGCGUUUCUAGCCCAUAAUUCCAUUAUCGUUACUCUUAGGUUGUCCAUCUGGCCUUGUACCUGUUCGCCAUGAAGGUGUUUGAUAUAUCCUGCCUGUAUUAUAUGUAUCCUUAUCUCUUGCGGCCACGUGCGUUUGUUUUCAUGCACUUUUUUUUUCCGGUCCAGAUCCCCUAGACUGCCGCAACCGUGUAUGCCCAUGUCAGACCCCAACAUGGCGUGUUCUUCGUUCUGGCAUGAGCCUCUUCCAUUACCUGUUCUAAAGAGAUUCCUGCACAUGUAAUUAACCUUGGAUGAUCGACUCCUAUAUAGCAAUGAAAAGCAAAAGUGACUAACAACCUCUACGGAUGCUAACGACUCUCGUAAAUAAAAUCAUCCAACUUCAUGGAGACCGGAUGACGUGCAGAUCAGCGAGGCACGAUCGUUGUCUAGUCUGGUGCACUGUCCUGCAAUGGUUACACACCCACACCCAGUUGUCGGCCCAAGUCUUUGUGUCUACCUACAGUGAUAACGGCCACGUUGCACCUCCAUCCUUAAAAUUACAAGUACCAAGGUGAGUAAAUUAAGAUAAUGUGGUAGAUUUUAUAUUCUUGUUUCAGUGGAAAUGACUGAAAUUUGUACAGGACGUAGAAAAAACUGCAAGAGAGCGUGUAAUUAUGGUUUCCAACUUUGAAGAUCGUAAAAGAAUCUCAUAUAGAAUUGCAAGAUAGCGUGCAAUUCUUCUAUAGUUUAAUUUAGGUUUGAUGGUGUGUGGGCUCGCGCUAGGAGACAUACACACUGAUGGGGAGACGAGUAGAGCGCGGAAGUUGACGGGAGGUGGGUUAACACGGAAGAAAAAAUUGGAAGUAGGGAUUGUUUAUUUUAUCGAAAUUGAAUAAGUAACUCGUAAAAUCACAAAGACAAUGAGAAAACGGUAACUCGUCGAGAGAUCAGGGACGCGAGCUGGAAUCGGCAGGGAACACCGGCCUGGAACGGAAGUAACAUAAAAGAGUUAGGGGUGGGGUAGAGUAACGGAAAAGGAAGGAAAGGACGAAGGAGGAGAAGGAGUGAUACCUGGUAGUGGGGUUCAAUAACUCCUUUUUCCUAUGAAAUGUGGUGUGCUUUUAUAGGAGAAUGGGGCCAAUCUCCAAGGCGUGACUGGUCUGGGCUGUCGAGCUGGAAUGAGCUACAUCAGUCGCCUCUUCUCCGACGAUACUUGUCCACAAGUGUGGAUUAUGUCCUAGUUCUGGAGAAGAGAACUUGGUCAGGUCCUUCACAUAUCGGUGAUAUACACAUGCCAUCUGGAAGAUCGAGUACGAAUGUGUUAUCAUUGAUUUCCUUGUGAUUUGGCAAGGUCCGAAACGACGAUCUUGUAGUUUAGAAUUUCGUCCUGGAGGAAAACGUUCCUUCCUCAUUCUUACCAUUACCCAAUCACCGACCUUUAAGUACGAUUGUUUCAGUGUUGAUCGACACCCUCUUUGUAUUUGGAUGUGUUGAACUCUAUCUGGCGGAGUGACUCAUCUUGAGCCGACUGGAUCUUGAGUAGGAGUUCCUCUACUCCGAUAACUCGUUGGUCACUGCUGGACAAAUCGGUCACCUGCUUUGGAAUUACUCCAUAUACUAUUUCGAAGGGACUCUUGCCGGUCGUCCUGUUGACCGAUGUGUUGUAUGCGAACUCCGCCAUGGCUAGAACCUGUUCCCAACCUCCCGGAUUUUGCGACACUAGAGCUCUCGACAAGCUGCCGACUGAUCGAUUGACCACUUCCGUCAGCCCAUCCGUCUGAGGGUGUGCCGAGGUGCUAAACUUCAGUGUGGUGUUUAGCCUUUUCCAGAGUAUUUUCUAGAAUUGCCCUACAAACAUGGGAUCACGGUCCGAUACUAGCGAUAGUGGUAGGCCAUGGAGUCUCACAAUUUCGUUCAUAAAAUGCUCCGUAAUUCGGGCGGCGGCGUUGCUUUUUUUGCACGGUAAAAAAUGCGCCAUUCUUGAGAAGCGAUCGACGACUACGCAGAUAGCGUCCUUCCCGGCUUGUGAGCGUGGUAACCCGGUGAUGAAGUCUAAUGAGAGGUCUUCCCACGGUCGUGCCGGAAUGGGUAGCGGCAUAUACAAUCCUUUUGAUGGAGAACCGGAUUUGGUUCGUUGGCAUACCGGGCAAUGUUUAACGAACCUCUUAACUUCUUUGCGUAACCCUGACAAAAAAAAAACGUUCUUCCAGUAGUUGAUACGUUUUGUUGAUGCCAACGUGUCCCCCUAGGUUGUUGCUGUGAAGCUCCCGGAUCAGUUUCAUGCGGAGGUCGGAUCUCGGAAUGCAGAGGCGGUUAUCGGUAAAUAUAAAGCCAUCCCUUAACUGGAAACCUUGAAAUUACCCUCCAUUUCGUAUCUCUUUCCAAACAGGCCCGAAUUCUUCAUCCUGUUCGUAUUCAUGUCUAAUCCCCUCGAUUUUAGGAAUUCGAAGUCGUACGUAAGCUAGUGUCUCGUUCUUUCGGCUAAGAGCAUCUGCCACUUUGUUGGCUUGUCCUGAUUUGUGUAAUAUGGAGAAUGUGAACCUUUGUAAAAAUGUUACCCACCGGAGGUGCAUGCGGUUGACGUUGGUUGCGGCAUUGAUAUCCUUUAACGCUAGGUGAUCCGAUCGGACAAUGAAGUCAUGUUAUAGGAGGUACGGUUCCCAAUUCUUGAAGUCUCGGACGAUGGCGUAAAGUUCGAUUUCGUAGGUGGUCCAAUGACGUCGUCCCUCACCGAACUUUUCGCUAUAAAAUGCGAUUGGAUGACCCUCUUGCGUAAGUACUCCCCCAAUCCCGGUGUUGCACCCAUCGCACUCGACGACGAAUAGCUUGUCAAAAUCCGGAAGUGCAAGAACUGGUGCUGACGUGAGUUUGGACUUGAGUUCUCCGUAGCUAUGGUCGGCUUUGGUUGUCCAAGUGAACGGUCUUUUUUUCAGGCAGUCGGUCAUUCCGGCGGCAAUUGUGCUGAAAUUUCUGAUGAAUCGUCUAUAAAAUGAUGCAAGUCCGAGGAAGCUUCGGACAUCCGUAAUUGUUUUAGGUUCCGGCCAACUUUGUAGUGUUUCCACCUUGCCCUGAUCGGUGGAUAAUCCUCGUGCGCUUACUACGAAGCAGAGGAAUGUUAAUUCCAUGACCCCAAAUACGCAUUUCUCCGUAUUGAGUCGCAAUGCAUUUCGGUCCAGUAGUUGCAAUACUUCGAUCACGUCUGCUUCGUGUGAUUGUGGUCGUUUACUAAAGAUCAGAAUGUCGUCGAAGUAAACGACCGUCGUCCUUCCGAUGACCGAGCGUAGAAUCAUCGUCAUCAGUCUCAUAAAUAUUGACGAGGCAUUCGAAAGUCCAAACGGCAUCAUGACUCAUUCGAACAACUCGGCCGGUGAUUUGAACGUUGUUUUCCAUUCGUCUCCGCUGCGAAUGCGGACUUGGUGAUACCUGCUCCGGAGGUCAAGCUUUUGAAUAUCGUGGCUCCCGAUAAAUGGUCCAAUAGUUCAUCUAUCCUUGGCACCGGAAAACGAUAUCGGAUCGUGAUUUUAUUGAUCGCCCGACUAUCCACACAAAGUCUCCAAUCACCGUUCUUCUUUGGGACGAUGAGUGCGGGGACGGCGCACGGGCUAGUGCUAGGACGGAUAAAUCCUUGCUCAAUGAGUUCGUCAAUUUUCUUUUGCAAGAUUUCGACUUCCUUCGGGCUCAUACGGCAGUGUGGCAAAUUCGGUAAUGACGCCCCUGGAGUGAGUUCAAUCUCAUGGUCUAUCUCUCGCCUAGGUGGUAACGCAGCCGCGAGGUCCGAGGUGGUUGGGUGUGCGUUCAAAAAUUCUUCCUCGUCUUGGGGAAUGAUGAAUGUUUCUUCGGUCCAGAUGGGCUUUGAUGUUAGUGCCCACCCAAAACCCUCUUCCGUGAUCGCUUGGGAUAACUUGGCCAGCGACACUAUUGUUACCACGGGCUUUGGCUCUGUGAUGAUCUGCCCCGGCGGUAGUGGAGUUAACACUAACCUCUUGCCAUUGAAGUCGAGGAUUAUCUGGUUGAUCUUGCCGCGAUGUGUAUAGUAUGUGUCAAAUUGCCAUGGGCGGCCUAGCAAGAUAUGAGAUACAUUCAUAUCGACGACGUCGCAAAGGAUAACGGCUUGGUAUUCUUUACCGAUCGAGAGUGGUACGCGACAUUGCUCGGAUACUCUUUUCAUGUUGGACUCAUCAAUCCAUGAGAUGGAACACGGUUGGGGAUGUUUUAUCGUUGGUAGCUUCAAUGCCUCGACGGCUCGUCUUGUGAUAAGGUUAUCGGUGCUACCGUCGUCUACCAAGAUAUCACAUAACUUUCCUCUAACUGUCCCACGGGUCCGGAACAAGGUGUUGCGUUGGUUGGCAUCGACCACUCGAGGAAUAGUGCAUAGUCGUUUCAGCAUGCAUAUUAACGGUAUCCCGGCAUCAUCGGGCUGGAUCGUUGUCUCUUCCAGUUCGGCCUGUUCUGUUUCAAAAAACUCGGUUUCGUCCUCCACAAUUGUGGUAAAUUGCCGCCGAGGACAGUCCGACGAUUUGUGACUGGGUUGGCCACACUUGUAGCAUAUGAGUGGCGGACGAGUGUAAGGGUCCGGAAAUGUUCUUGCCUUGUCCCCAAGGAGUACCUUGCCAUUAUCGGGUGUGAGAUGCGUCGGUGAGUCGAGUCUCGUGGUCGGCGGGAACGCCGGUGACCGUGAAUUGCGUGAUAAUUGUUUGUCAAUUUAUGAGGCGCGGUUCAUGGAGUCGGCCAACGAGUAGGUGGACAGCACGGAGACUCGGUCUUGGAUGGGAAUGCGGAGGCCGACGAUGAACCGGGCUAUCAUAUGUUCCUCCUCUUCUUUUAACUCGCUGCGGGCUGCCAAGCAGUGGAAGUCGUCCGCAUAAUCGUCCACGGACCGUGAAUCUUGGCGACAGUUCAAGUACUCGGUAAAAAGAGCACGUUGGUAAUUGGCGGGAAGGAACCUCUCGUAUAUGAGGGCCUUCAUCUUCCUCCAUGUUUGGAUUGGUCCCUUGCGGCGAUUAGCUCGGCUGGAUUGCGUUUGGCGCUACCAUGCUUUGGCGCAACCUUUCAACCGGAGCGCAACCAGUUGGGCGGUGGCGUUCUCAUCGACCGGAACAUAUGCAAAAUAUUCGACGACGUCCGCUAUCCAGUCCACAAAUGCCUCGUUGCUUGUCAGUCCAUAAAACAUUGGUAUGUCGGCCAUCAACCGGCUCGAUAGGUGAGGCCCGAUGUUGGCUCGUGGAGGUGGGGGUCGGUCUAGGUAGAAUUCCUCAUCCGAUGAGCCCUCAUCCCUGGUAGAUUGAUCAAUUGAUGGUGUGUUCUGGACUGUUGGUGGGGUAGUGUGGUCUGGACUGUUUGGUGGAAUUGUAGUUGGAGGAAUAUGGGUUGAAAAAUCGGUGGCCGGCUGGAAUAGCUUGGGAAGAUGUGGGGUGGUGGAAUUGUUGUCAUUGGAGGGGCGCCGAUGGAGCUGAGAUUGUAAGAUGGAGGUGUUUGGGAGCCCUUGAGUACUGAUGCAUUCACUGUGGCAAUCAAUGCGCGAAUCUCGGCGUGUUGCUCCUUCAUGAACUCGGCCAUCUUCCGAAGCAUAUCAUCUUGGAAAGUCUUCAGCUCAGAUCGGCGGAUGUAGGGGUCGCUUGAUUCAGCCAUGGGUCGACGCACGCGUGGAUAGAUGCAGUGGUGAAUCUGAUACCAAAUGAUGGGGAGACGAGUAGUGCGCGGAAGUUGACGGGAGGUGGGUUAACACGGAAGAAAAAAUUGGAAGCAGGGAUGGUUUAUUUUAUUGAAAUUAAAUAAGCAACUUGUAAAAUCACAAAGACAAUGAGAAAUCGGUAACUCGUCGGGAGAUCAGGGACACGAGCUGGAAUCGGCAGGGAACACCGGCCUGGAACGGAAGUAACAUAAAAGAGUUAGGGGAGCAGAGUAACGGAAAUGUGGUGUGCUUUUAUAGGAGAAUGAGGCCAAUCUCCAAGGCGUGACUGGUCUGGGCUGUCGAGCUGGAUUGGGCCGCAUCACACACACAACUCUGUAGUAUUCCUCUUAAUCAUUACUGAGGAUGUGUGGGCUCGAGCUAGGGGGCUCAUACACACAACUCUCUAGUAUUCCUCCUAAUCAUUGUCAUCCCCUUCCCUCGUUGGACCAGGGGGUAUAUAUAGAAGUCAUCCAUGGACCUUCGCCGGUCUAGGCCCGUUGCUCGGGUGAGGGGCCUGCGGCCCGUGGUCUGUCUGAACGGGCCUUGGUAUCAACAAGGUCAUUUGUCUAAUAUUGUUCUACUUUAUACUUCAUUUGUGUAUUUAUAAUGUACACAUAAUUGAAGUGAAAUAUGAAAUCUGCAAUUAAUAUUUCUUGUUGAUUGUGGUUGAAUUUUGAAACGAAAAUUAAUCUGAUUUAGUUCCUUUUCCAUUACUUCGUUUUCUAAUAAGUGAAAUAGUUGGUCAUUUCCAUACAUUCUACAAAUCUUCAUUAUCUUUCAAACUCCAUGUUGAUUAAAAUAAGAAAAUAUGUUACAAAUGAUAGGAGGAUUGAUAGUUCUUACACUACAAAAAAAAGGACCUUGUACGGCGGCCUUUAGAUGACGGAUUUCCGCCAUCAAUACUUCAAUAGUUUAGAUGGCGGAUUUCCGCCAUCUAUUCUUUCAGUCCGCCGAGGAAACGUUUUGGCUCGACGGCGGUUCGAAUUUUUUUUCGAUGGCGGUGUUUAGAUGGCGGAAAUCCGCCAUCUAAACUAUCCCGCCCAAAAUUUCGAAUCUCCCCCAAAUGAUAACCCGAUUACCCGAUUAAAUUGACUUAAGAUGGCGGAAAUCCGCCAUCUUAAGUUUUCAGGGACUCGGGCGGAAAAAAGCCCGCCCAAAUUUCGAUUGGGUGGACUUUCACUUAAGUGCUGGCGGCACUUAAGUGUACUUACAUGGCGGAAAUCCGCCAUGUAAGUUUUGGGGUUUAUUAAAAACCCCAAAUCCAGACAGACGCGUUUGUUUUCAUACUUUGGUGAUUCCGCCGACCGUCGACCUCUCCUGCCGAUUCCUUCGCCGUGCGUCCCUGCUGCCCCCGUUCUCGCCUCCAGUCUCGCCUCCGGUCUCGCCUACGGUCUCGCCUCCGGUGGUGCCCGUUCUUCCUUCCGUUCGUAGUUGCUCCUUUCAUACUUUGGUGAGAUUUAUAUAUUUAUAUAUUUCAAUAUUUGUUUUAGUUUUUUGAUUUAGAUUUUUUUAUUUUAUGUUUUGUAUAUGAAUGAAUUAAGUGUACCCUUUUUAAUUUAUACACAAAUAUGUAUGAUAAUCGACUCUAAUCCUUUUUUUAUUCUUCUUUUCGUUCUUAUCUUAAAAAUAAGAUUCUAAAUUUACGACUCUAAUUAAUCUAAUACAGGGAUUUCUAAUAAAAAAGAAAAGUGGAUUCUCAGAGAAUAUAGAAAUUACUUUUAUUCCCUAUUUAAUUUAUUUUAAAUUUUUGUAUCCCCUGCUAUAUUUAUGUAUUAUUCACUAUUAUUAUUUUAUUUAAAUAUACAUUUUCAUAUACUAACAUAUUCUAAUUUAAUUACUUAUUUUCAAUUUUAAUAGNNNNNNNNNNNNNNNNNNNNNNNNNNNNNNNNNNNNNNNNNNNNNNNNNNNNNNNNNNNNNNNNNNNNNNNNNNNNNNNNNNNNNNNNNNNNNNNNNNNNAGAAAAUGCUUGUGAAUGGACUCUUAUUUAAUACAGCAACAAUAUCACAUUACUUAAAUCUCAUCAUCUCAAAACUCAUCUAAUUCCUGUUUAUAUAGUAAAAUUGUGAUUCAUAAGUAGUCAAAGUAUUUAACCAUCUAUUUUUCUUGUGAUUAUUUGUUGCCGGCAGAGAUCCUAGGCAGUACUUUCGACUUUUCAUUUCUCCAUUGUUCAAAUCAAGCAGUCCAGUUGAGUCUCCAUCAAAGAAGGUUAAAUGAUUUAUUGUUAGCACCUCUGUAUAUGUGAACUUCUGUAUAGAAUCUUCCUUGUUGUUUUCUGAUCUAUUUUAUAUGUGAACUUUAUAUUGUUAAAGUUUUGUGAACUUUAUUUAUAUGUGAACUUUUGCGAUGGUUUUUGUAAUGGUUUUUGUGAUGGUUAUUUAUUCUUAAAGUUAUUUAUUUGUAAUGGUUUUUGUGAUGGGUUUUGUUCUUGAUUCUAAUCUAUUGAUCUCUUUAUCUAUCUAUCUUUUUGUUCGUAUUUUUGAUUUGUUUAUUUAUGUAUGGAAUUAUUUAUGGUGUUUGAAUGUUUGGAAAUUUAAUUUUGAUUUAUGGUGUUGGAAUGUUUGGAAUCAUAUAUACUAUAUAUUAUCUAUGUUUGAUUAAUUUACUGUUUUUAAAUUAAAGAAUUAAUAAAUAAUUUUAAAAAUAAUUUAAAAUCUUUAUUUGAUUUACUGUUUUUAAUUAAAGAAUUAAUAAUAUUUUGAAAUAAAUAAAUAAUUUACUGUUUUUAAAUAUUUUUAAAAUUAAUGAAAUCAAUUAUUUGAUUUACUGUUUGUAAUUAAAUAAUUAAUAAUAUUUUGAAAUAAAUAAAUAAUUUACUGUUUUUAAAUAUUUUUAAAAUUAAUGAAAUCAAUUAUUUGAUUUACUGUUUGUAAUUAAAUAAUUAAUAAUAUUUUGAAAUAAAUAAAUAAUUUACUGUUUUUAAAUAUUUUUAAAAUUAAUGAAAUCAAUUAUUUGAUUUACUAUUUGUAAUUAAAUAAUUAAUAAUAUUUUGAAAUAAUUAAAUAAUUAAAUAAUUAAAUAAUUGAUUUUAUUUGAUUUAUUUAAAUAAUUGUAAUUAAAUAUCAAUUUAAUUAAUAAUUUAUAUGAAUCUAUAUCUUAAUUAAUUAUUUGCAUGAAAUAAAUUUAUUUGAAUUAUUUUCUGUUUUUAAAUUAUUUAAAAAAUAAUUAAUUAAUUUAUGUUUUUAAAUAAUUUAAAAUUUAUAUAAAAUAAUUAAUGUGUUUUUGAUUUGUUAUAGGUUUUUUAAAAUCAAGAUUGAAGUAAGUUUUGGAUUGAAGUAAAAGCUCAUUUGCGGUAAAAAUUAUAUAAUUUCAUAUGAUCAAUUUAUUUUCAAAUUAUUUAAUUUAUUGUUAAAAUAAAUUAUUAUUUUAAUUAUCAAAUGAAAUAAGAAUAAUUAGUAUUUUAUUAAUUGAUUAACAAUUAUUAAAUAUUAAUUUGUUAGUAAUGAAAUAUGUGCAUGAAAUAAUAUAUGAUCAUUUUAAUUAUUUAAUUAAUUAUUAAAUUGAAAUAAUAAUGAUUAAUUUGCAUGAAAUUAUUAUUAUUUUAAAUAAUUAGUAAUUAUUAAAUUGAAAUGUUAAUGAUUAAUUUGCCUGAAAUUAAAAUUUUGUUAAUUAAUUAAUAAUUAUUAAAAAAUUGUUAAUUAAUUAAUAAUUUGUUAAAAAUUUGAAAUAAUAAUCAUUAAUUUUCCAUGAAAUGAUUAUAUUGUAGCAAUGACAAGAUAAUUACCUUUCUACUAAGCCAUUGCUUAAUUAUUUGUUUGUUUGAAAAAUAUUAAAUUAAUAAAUUUAAUAUUUUUUUAGAUUUUAAGAAAUGCCACGUAGAGUGAAGCAAUUACCUCGUCGGAGGCCGCUCUACCACCCAAUCCCCAAGAUGCUUUUCGGUUUUAUCUAGAAUUGAACUAGCUAGAUUACGUACCUAGUUCAAUAAUUAGCUAGAUUUUCCCAAAAAAUUGAACUAUAACUAAUAUUGUAAUAGUCAAAUAAUUUUUAUCUAAUUAAUUAUAAUUCGAUAAAAAUUUAAAUUUUUAGGAUAAUGUCGAACGUUAUGAAAGUACCCGAUAAAGCUUGGAUGAGUUUAGAUCGGUUUUCGAAAGAAUACGGCGAAGGGUUAACAGCUUUCACUUAUUUCGCCAUUUCGAAUUCGACUCACCCAGAAGGUUAUUUACCAUGUCCAUGCUCGUCCUGCACGAAUAGUGAAGUGAUUCCUAUAAAGGAGAUGAGGAAGCAUAUUUUCAUAAAUGGUUGGUUGAAACAUUACGAUGUUUGGACGCGUCACGGAGAGUUACCGAGUAGAUAUGGUGAGAAAAAAGUGAAACGAAAAGAAANNNNNNNNNNNNNNNNNNNNNNNNNNNNNNNNNNNNNNNNNNNNNNNNNNNNNNNNNNNNNNNNNNNNNNNNNNNNNNNNNNNNNNNNNNNNNNNNNNNNNNNNNNNNNNNNNNNNNNNNNNNNNNNNNNNNNNNNNNNNNNNNNNNNNNNNNNNNNNNNNNNNNNNNNNNNNNNNNNNNNNNNNNNNNNNNNNNNNNNNNNNNNNNNNNNNNNNNNNNNNNNNNNNNNNNNNNNNNNNNNNNNNNNNNNNNNNNNNNNNNNNNNNNNNNNNNNNNNNNNNNNNNNNNNNNNNNNNNNNNNNNNNNNNNNNNNNNNNNNNNNNNNNNNNNNNNNNNNNNNNNNNNNNNNNNNNNNNNNNNNNNNNNNNNNNNNNNNNNNNNNNNNNNNNNNNNNNNNNNNNNNNNNNNNNNNNNNNNNNNNNNNNNNNNNNNNNNNNNNNNNNNNNNNNNNNNNNNNNNNNNNNNNNNNNNNNNNNNNNNNNNNNNNNNNNNNNNNNNNNNNNNNNNNNNNNNNNNNNNNNNNNNNNNNNNNNNNNNNNNNNNNNNNNNNNNNNNNNNNNNNNNNNNNNNNNNNNNNNNNNNNNNNNNNNNNNNNNNNNNNNNNNNNNNNNNNNNNNNNNNNNNNNNNNNNNNNNNNNNNNNNNNNNNNNNNNNNNNNNNNNNNNNNNNNNNNNNNNNNNNNNNNNNNNNNNNNNNNNNNNNNNNNNNNNNNNNNNNNNNNNNNNNNNNNNNNNNNNNNNNNNNNNNNNNNNNNNNNNNNNNNNNNNNNNNNNNNNNNNNNNNNNNNNNNNNNNNNNNNNNNNNNNNNNNNNNNNNNNNNNNNNNNNNNNNNNNNNNNNNNNNNNNNNNNNNNNNNNNNNNNNNNNNNNNNNNNNNNNNNNNNNNNNNNNNNNNNNNNNNNNNNNNNNNNNNNNNNNNNNNNNNNNNNNNNNNNNNNNNNNNNNNNNNNNNNNNNNNNNNNNNNNNNNNNNNNNNNNNNNNNNNNNNNNNNNNNNNNNNNNNNNNNNNNNNNNNNNNNNNNNNNNNNNNNNNNNNNNNNNNNNNNNNNNNNNNNNNNNNNNNNNNNNNNNNNNNNNNNNNNNNNNNNNNNNNNNNNNNNNNNNNNNNNNNNNNNNNNNNNNNNNNNNNNNNNNNNNNNNNNNNNNNNNNNNNNNNNNNNNNNNNNNNNNNNNNNNNNNNNNNNNNNNNNNNNNNNNNNNNNNNNNNNNNNNNNNNNNNNNNNNNNNNNNNNNNNNNNNNNNNNNNNNNNNNNNNNNNNNNNNNNNNNNNNNNNNNNNNNNNNNNNNNNNNNNNNNNNNNNNNNNNNNNNNNNNNNNNNNNNNNNNNNNNNNNNNNNNNNNNNNNNNNNNNNNNNNNNNNNNNNNNNNNNNNNNNNNNNNNNNNNNNNNNNNNNNNNCACCGACUGAUAUAACGUUGACUACUUUACAACAGAAACAGUUGCAUCAAUGUAUAUUGUUUGAUCUUGAAAGUGUCGAACCAUAUCGAAAUAAACACUUGAAGCAAUUGAAAGUUAUGUUUCCAAAACACACACAGCUUCGUCUGGAAAAUUUACACUUCAAGCAAUUUGCCGAUUGGUUUAAAAAACACAUGUCCGAAGCUCAACAAUCUGACACAGACUUGAAUUCUAUUUCCCACGGACCAAGUUGUUUUGCUUCAAUUUAUAGUGGUUACAUUAUGAAUGGAUUAAAAUUUCAGACGUUAGAAUUGACAAAUCGUAGAUCGACGCAAAAUAACGGUAUUUUUCUAUCGGCUACAACAUCAACGUAUGCAAAAUCUCCAAAUGAUGCUCCGUUGGUAGCAGAAAUUGAAUAUCAUGGAUUAUUAGAAAAUGUCUUCGAAAUUUGCUACGGUCACAUGACGAAAUAUUGUCUGUUUGAAUGUAAGUGGUACGAUCCUGGAAAAGCAGGUACUAAACUCGAUGAUUUUGGUGUCGUUUCAGUUAACACGACACGGGGGAAAUUUGGAAAGGAACCAUUCAUUUUGGCAAAUCAAGCUCAACAAUGUUUUUACAUUCAAGAUCCGGUAGAAUCUGAAUGGAGUUCAGUCCUUAAAAUACCAAAUAGAGAUAUUUUCGAUGUUGAUAAUGAUGAUUGUUGUAAUUAAAUUAUAAAGUAUUACAUUACAGUAUAAUUUAAUAUUUUCAAUGUAAUAUCAUGUUGAUUAUAAAUAUUUCUUUUUUUCAGUCAAACAUUAGUCAACUACUUGCAAUCGUCGCACGAUAUGAACGACUAGAGCGACUUAAACAGAUUCAACGUAGUUUUCACAAAAACAUAGAUUAUUAUUGUCGUGUUUUUGCUUGUUUCUGUUGUGGAGUCAACGGUCAUCAUUUUCAGAACUGUCCAAAAUUAUGGUCGACAAAUCCUCAAACAAUGGAAACCGGUCAGAUUUUAGUGUUAGGAUACGAGGCUAGAGUGUUGAAUGAUUGUGGUGGCACACAUUCAUUCAAAAUCGAAUACAACUCUUCUCACGACGACUUCGAAGAUUUGUUGUGUUUAAUAAUAAAGAAUGUAAAUUACAAUAGGAAAAAUAUUUGGUUGUUGUGUCAGACCAAGACCCCAUAUACGGGUGUCUGGCUAUGUAUUUAAAAUAACUGAUUUUAUUUUCAAAUUUAAACAUUUCAGAUUAUGUUUACUGUUUUCGUUCUGCUUGGUCUUAUCACACCUUUCAUGGCAUUAGCGAUGGUUACAUCCCGUCGCUCUUUCGAAGAGUCAAGCUCAAGUGGUCAGUUCAUUAUUAAUAUUUUAAAUAUUAUCAUGAUUUUUAUUAAAUAUUAAUUUUUAAAUAUGUAAAUUAAUUAGAUGCGAGGCCAUCCACUUCAAAUGUGCCUCCAGAAAAGAAGGGUCGUGGUCGCACAAAAGACCACCCCCAUAACCAUCCAGAGAAAGGUACGAAGUGGAAGGUUAUGUUUGAUAACACAAACCAAGCCACGGAUGAAAUGGCGAAGAAGUUAACGACAAGAAUGACUCUUUUAGCAAAAGACCAUACUCUAUUCCCGUACGACAUUGAGUGGCGUCAUCAACCACAACAGAAUUUUCAAGACGCGCUAAAAAUAUUAACUGUAAGUAUAUAAUUUUUUAUAUAAUUUAUUAAUUUUUCAAAACUUAUAAGUUUUGAAUAUGUAGGCUGAAUAUGAUUUAAGUGGAAGCAAAGCUGCACAAACUUACAUCAAUGGCAGGCUUAACAAACUCUGGAGGAGCAACCAUAAUUCUUUGAUUAAAACUUAUGGCUCUGAUCCUGAUAUGAGAGAAGAAGACAUUUUAGCGACUCUUCCGCCGUAUGUCAGCAAACCUCAAUUUCUAAAUAAAUUGAGAUAGCAUCGUUCGGAAAAAGGAAAGGUACGUAUAUGUAUAUAUAUAUAUUUAUUAUAUUAAUUAUUUUUGAAACUUAUUAUUUUUUUAAUUUCAGCAAAUUUCCGAGAUAAACACCGCAAACCGAGCGAAUCAAAUGACACAUCACGCUGGUUCAAAAGGAUUAGCGCAAAGACGUCAUGAAUUGGUAAUUUAUUUAUAAUUUUUAUAUUUCUUUUUAUAUAUUAAUGAUUUAUGUGAAUAUAGAUGCAACAAGGAAGGAGUGAAGUCGAAGCUUGGUCAGAGACUUUACAAAUGACUUAUAAAGGAAGCGAUAAAGUUGUAAGUGUUUUUUAAAAAUUAUUUAUAUUUUCUAAUUUAUAUUUUCAUUGUUUGAUUUUGUUAUUCUUUCAGCUUGAAACCACGGAAUUUAUCAAAACUCCAGAGGCAAAAUCGUGGGCUGAAUCUGAAUCAAUGACUCCAAUUGUAAGUUCCAUUGAUUAUUUUAAUUAUAUUUCGUUUUUCUUAUUUUUUUUUUAUAUAACGCAGCAAUUUAUCGAAGCGACGGUCAACAAGACUUUCGGCAAAAAUAGGAAGAAUCGAAUAAUUGGAAUCGGAGAAGCUGCAAGUAUGGUGAGCACAACAAACGAAAGUUGCCUGCUCCAAAUUGGAAAGGAAAAGACCAGAUCUCAGAGAGCACGACUGUUGAUGCACCACCAGAUGCAGUAUGGUCGGAAAAAUUCAAAGCAUUGGAGGUAUUUACAAUAUAUUUGAAUAAUUUUGUUGAUUACCGAACUCAUUGUUGUUUUCAUUUUCAGAACAAGUGUAACGAGAGUCAAAAAGACGUCUCGAAAUACAAGAAAAAGUUCAAUGCUAUGAAAUCCUAUAUGAAGAAACUGAACAAGACUUUGAAGACUUCUGGACUAGACAUGACGCAGAUGGCUUCUACUUCAAAGUCAACAAUACCGUCUGCAUUCGGAUCAGAUAAUUCUGAUUCUGAUUCAGAAGACUCGCUUUCAGACGAG
rnacentral:lncRNA from 1 species